rnacentral:lncRNA from 1 species
AGUUUUAAAACUAUGGCUAGAAUUCACCUUAUAAGAUGAAUAAGUGGGAUGUCAGGGGUUCAAACCCCAACCCCUUUAUAUAAUAAUGCACUGUCCUACCAACUGAGCUAUGCUCACGAGACCUAGGUGGUAAGUUUUAAUAAUAUUUAUUUAUCGACGAAAACAAACACAAAAACAGUUAUACAUUAAUUAACGGUGGAAUUAAACCCUCUAAUAAACUAAUUUUUGAGUUGAAUACCGAAUUGUUUAUUAAAAAAAAAACAAUUAGUUGAAGAUAUUUCCUCAACCACUACCGAUUCAGUUGUGCAAUAUCAGAAUUAUUGCCCCCAAUUGCAAGUGUAUUAUUAUUGUACCGCAUGUAUUUUCAAAAUUAUUGCUUGGUUAUAUGUCCAGUCAAUUUGAUUCAAUUAUUUUUUGGUACCGUCGUUGUUAGUAACUGUAACAUUAUUUGGAUCAUACUAUUAACGAAUGACUUGGGAUACCUUUUAAAGAUUUAAAAUUUAAAAAUUAUUCUAUUAAAAAGAACUGUUACAAAUUUCAAUGUAAACGUUUUAAAAACUAUUUUAGAAAAACAGUAACAAACGUGUCGAACUUUUUAAGACUAAAGAUCUGAUUUAAUCUCUCACAAUUUAAGUGCGGAUCAAUUUAAUUACCGAGACAAAUUACUAUUUAAAUUAAGCAUAACAACUUUAUAAGAAAGGAGAAACUAAUCCCUUCUUAAAAAUUGACCAAAGUUUGUGGAAAGGUCAAAUUUUCAACGAAAAAAAAAUACAAAAUUAGCCAUUCACUAAUUUGGACCAAAUAAGUCUCUAUUUUACUCCCUAAAAAAAAAGAAAAAGUCUAUUUUAUUAUUAGAUUAAAUAUGUUUUUAUCCUUAUAAAUAUACCUCCAAAUGAAAGAAAUGGAGAAUGUAUAAAAUGGAGAGGAUCUUGACUCCGAGCAUCAUGAGCAAUAAUUUAAUAUGCUGAUGUUAGGACAAAAAAUUGAACAUGCUGAUCAAUUGAUUGAAGAGAUUUGUCUAACGUUUGAAGGCGCUCCAUAGGUCCCUCAAUUUUACUUAUAAUCUCUUAAAUUUAUCAAAACUUAAAUUCUGAUUGUACGAAUUUGUUAGAACAUAUCUUUCGAUCAAAAUUUUUUCACUCAAAAUUUACCGGAAGCUAUCUUUCUAUUGAUUUUUUUAGGAUUGAACAACUUGAAAGCCCAUAAGCGAUCUCCCUAAUCUUUUACAGCAUAUAUCAUUGGCGACCCACCUGAAUCUGGUUAUUAGUUCAUCAAAAAACACAUGAGAUUUUCUUUCAUCAGUAUAGAUUUGCUUUUUGUUUUUUAUUGUCAAUAUGAAAAUGAAAAAGCUGAAGCCAAGGGGACAUCAAAUACUAUAGUAUAUGCUCCCAACGACUAAAAAAAGAAAUCAUUUGAAUUCAGCUGCUGCAAAUUAAUUACAAACAUUUGGAUAGCUUAACUGAUUAUCAAAAAUAUCUUAAUUACCCUUGAUCAUGAAUUUAUGUUUAUAGAUCAUGUACCAAAGAAUUUAGAAAUAUAUUUGGGUCCAUGUACGGUCCAUCUAUACUUAAAACUUUAGGUGGGUUGGCUUUGAAGACUCAUCAAAGUAAGGGUAGAAUCCAAGACUCAAAAAAUAUUUAAAGGUAUAUUUAUAGAUCAUCUAUCAAAGAAGUUAUUGUAUGACAAUAAAAGUUAAAUCUACAAUAUUACGGGUGAAUGAACUUCUUACCAAUUAAAUCAACAUUCAGUGAUUUCAUACGCGGUCCAUCUAAGAACAAAGAGAAGAAGCAAUAAAACCGUGAAAAAUAAAAAAUUACAAAAAGACAAACUAGUUGAUGGUGAUUCAACUAGUUGCAAAUGUCAAAAUCAUACAUAUUGAAAGGAUGAUAAGCAAAUAUCAUGUGUAUUGUAUGCUAAUUUAAAAGUAAUAUUAGCAUAUACUCCCUCCGUCCCUUAAUAAAUGACUUAGUUGACAAUAUGCAUUAUUGACUUGAUAUACUUUGACCAUACUUUUCUACUAAUUCACAAAGAUAAAUAAUAUCAUGUAAGAUGUUGUUGGAUUCGUCUCGAUGAGUAUUUUUAAAAUAUUAAAUUUUUAUAAUUUUUUUUAGUAGAGAAUUGAAGAUAUCAAAGAUAAAACAUAUGCAUUGGUAUGUGUGUAAGAGUCAACUAGAUCAUUUAUUUAGGGACGGAGGGAGUAUUAAAAAUAAACAUUUAAUUAAAGUUAUAAAUGAAUUGGUAGAAAUUACUAUAAAAUUAUUUCACUUAAAAAAUGUCUUGUCGGUGUCCUUAAGGCAUUAGUUAGCAUACUAACAGUAGAAAGAAAAGUCGAGUUUGACAUUAAGAAAAUCACCUUUUUAACUUUCAAAAGUAGAAUACACAAUUUCCAAAAGAAUGAAGUACUUGUUAACAUUUUCCAUAUUUAAAUUAACGACAAAGUAACUCACCGUACAUUACUAUCGAUGUAUCAUACUUUUUUAAUAAGCAAUUACUCUGUUUAUUUAGACCCCGUUUGGAUUGAGCUUAUGAAAAAGAGCUUAUCCAAAUAAAUAAAUUUUAUUUUAAUUUAUAAGUUCUUACUAACGAAAAUAGUACAUUCAUAAACUGUUUUUUCAUAAACUACGUUAACAAUCUUAUAAAUAAUACAUAAAGACAUAUUUAUUUGCAUAAACUCUAAAAUAAGAUAAUCCAAACAGGGUCGCUUUUUAUAAUAUUGUUCCAACAUUUCAAUUUAUUUUUCUAAAAGAAAUAAUAUAUAGUUAAACAUGUCUUAUCCAACGAAGUUUGGUUCAGUUGUUAGUAAGGGUGUUUUUGUUUGGAGAAUUACUUCCUCCGUUUUUAAAUAUAAGUAAAUUUUACUUUUUAGAUUUAUUCAAUUAAUGAUAUAUGUGGUUCAUAAUAUGGACCACAUACAUCAUUAAUUAAAUGAACCUAAAAAGUAAAAUUUGCUUAUAUUUAAAAAUGGAAGGAGUAGGUCACCAAAACCGUGGAUUUAAAAGUAAGUGAACCAACCAAUAAUAGAAUGGUUUGAGUGGCAAGAGAUUUGAAUCCUUUAAAUAUAUUGUUAGAGGUUCGAUUUCUAACUGAUACAUAUGAUAAGAAGAGUGUUAUUUGAACAACUAAUUUGGUGACAACUUAUUUGACAACCAUAUUUUACAAAGAAAAAAGUGGUACUGACACAGAAACCAUAACAAUAGAGAGAUAAAGUAAAAAGUAAUGUGAAUAUGAGAGAGAAAAUUGUUGCAAAAAUUAUCACUAAAUGGAUGUUCAAAUAUCAUUUCUCAUAUGAUAAAAAUCCGGUAGAAAGAGGGAGAACUAAUAUUGUUUGCCACAAAUUCUCCGAAGGAGAUUAAUCAUCAUUAUGCAUCGCUGAAAAUUUUAUACCAAUAUUAUAUGAUAAAAGGAAAAAAAAAAAAAAGAAACCAAAAUCAUAGAUUAGUCAAAACGAGCAAAAGUAUAUUUAAACUCCUCUGUGGUUUAAAUAUUGGAUUGCCAAGUACCUGAUAUUUUUUGGUGUAAAUCGACUAUCCUCCACGUGCGCAAAUGCAGAGUACCUAAUAUAAUCAUGUAGAUAAAGGUGCACAAAUUUCUUUAAGGCUUAAUUGCACUUUCCCCCCUAUAGUUUGCCAAUUGUGCGAUUUUGCACCCCAUUGUUUAAAACGAGCGAUUUUGCCCCCUAUAGUUUUCCUCCUUUCUGAUUUUAUGGUUCCCAUGACAUUUAAUGCUGAUGUGUUUGUUAUUUAUCAAUUAAUGUGUGCCACGUGUGUAAUUUCAUUUUUUUAAAAAUAAAAAAAAAUGGUAUUUUUCAGAUUAAUUAAUAAAAAUACCAUCAUUUUCACGUGCCUCCUUAUCUCAAAAUCUAAAAAAUACCUUUUUCAUUAAUUGAUAAAUAACAGACACAUCAACACUAAAUAUCAUGGGAACCAUAAAAUCAGAAAGGAGGAAAACUAUAGGGGGCAAAAUCGCUCGUUUUAAACAAUGGGGUGCAAAAUCGCACAAUUGGCAAACUAUAGGGGGGAAAAAUGCAAUUAAGCCUUUAAUUGUUUUCCAGUGUUGGAUUUAGCUAUACAAAGGUGCACAAAAUCAUUCAAUACAUGCUAAGGAGAAACAUGAGUCCAAAGUUUAUAUCUGAGAUCAUCUUUCUUCAUCUACUAUUUCUAAUCACGGUAUCUUAUGUUAUGUGUCUUUUUUUUUUCCUUUUCUUUUUCUUGGAACUCUAUUUCUAUAUUCAAAGCUCUCUAAAUUUUUGCAGAUUUUUUAUGGAAGCAGAGCAAGAGAAUUAGCUGGAACAGAAAGCAAACUCUUGGAUAUUGCAGUGAACAAAACUGCUACUAAUGAACAUCAAACAGAACACAAACAUCAUGCACAUAAUCACAAUCACAUGGAUCCUUCUGUUAUGGUGUUCUUCACCUUAAAAGACUUAAAAGUUGGGAAAAGAAUGCAAAUUAAUUUUCCCAAAAGAAACCCUUCAACUUCCCCUAAGUUUUGGCCAAGAGACAAAGCUGAUUCACUUCCUUUUUCAUUGAACAAACUUCCAACUCUUCUCAAAAUCUUCUCUUUAUCUCAAGACUCUCCACAAGCCAAAGCAAUGGUAGAUACCCUUACAGAAUGUGAGAGCAAACCCAUCAAAGGAGAAGUGAAAUUCUGUGCCACUUCUUUAGAAUCUAUGCUUGAUUUCACUCAAAGUAUUCUUGGUAUUAAAAAUGAUCUCAAAGUUUAUGCAACUUCACAUUUAACCAAAUCAAGUGUCACUUUUCAGAACUAUACUAUAUUAGAAAAAAUUAUGAGGAUUUCAGCUCCAAAGAUGGUGGCAUGUCACACUAUGCCUUACCCUUAUGCUGUAUUCUAUUGCCAUAGCCAAGAAAGUGAAAAUAGGAUAUAUAGAGUUUCACUUGUCGGUGAUAAUGGGGAUAUGGUGGAAGCUAUGGUUGUUUGUCAUAUGGAUACUUCUCAUUGGGGACAUGGUCAUGUUUCAUUUCAGGUUCUUGGUGUUGUGCCAGGAAGUUCUAAUGUCUGUCACUUUUUUCCUGCUGAUAAUUUCAUAUGGGUUCCAAAAUUGGAAGUUCAGGGUGUUUCAGAUAUGUGAUUUUAAUUUUAGUAUUGUGCUAAUUACAUAGUACUAUAUGUUUAAUGUUUGAGUUUCUGUGUGAUUGUUGAAAUAAGUACUCUUCUGGGUAUAUGUAAUGAUGUUAGUGUGUUUGCUUUUUAUUUUCAAUAUGUAUUAUAUUUAUUGAGAAUAAUGUAUUGGUUAAGAAAUCAAAAGAAAUAGCUUUGUAGUAUCAUGCAAUAGUAUCCUUAACCAAUACUCUUGCCAAAAACCUAUAUGUAUUAUGUGAUUUUAGAUCUCAUAUGUGGAAAAAAAAAGGAAGAAUUAUGUUAAUGAUCGCAUAUUUUUUUUUUGAAAAAGCCAAAAUGGAAAUGUGUAAUGAUCGCAUAAAUAAGAGAAGACCAAAGAAAUAAGACAUGAAAUAUGUGUGAUGUAACUUCUCUUUCUCUCUUUCUCUGAUUAUGUACUCCCUCUAUUCUAUUCUUCUUUUUCUUAUUAUUAGCGCAUCUUCUUAUUUACCUACUGUUCUCUAUAAAAAACGACUACAAUUACCAAGUUGUAAUGAUUCUUUGGAUUAAUCAAUAGAAUAUUGUUUGCAUUUCCAUUCCAAUUGAUGAUUUGGUGGAGGAAAUUAUGGUGCUCUCUUGGCAUUGGAGCUUGAGUAGGCUAAAUAUUUCAACGUGUUGUAUUAUGAAUGGAGUUGGAAUCCACAAGAAUGUCUUACGAGGUAGGGGAUUUGGACAGAGGAGGUGCAAGUUGUAGUGCAGGGGCUGUUCUUAGUAUCCUGCUGUUCUGGGCUUGCAGGUUUGGUUGUCAGCCCAAUUUUUGUGUCAGCAGGAUGCUGGUUUUUGCUGUUUGGGCUAGUAUGUUGCUGUUGUCUGCAGUUCAGUUUCUGCUUUUUGCACACGGCAGCUGCUGGAUGAGUUUUUGGCUGGUGUUUCUUUGGGUAGUUUGUUGGUAGUAGUAGUGCUGGUGUUGAGGCAUGUGUAUGAGCGCUAGAUGUUUUCCUCAUAUGUGUUCUAUCAAGAACCACACAGGCUGAUAUUUAUGACAUUACUAUAAUGCCACCUUUUGGACUAUAAACUAUGUUUAACUUUGAUAUUUUGUUGGUUGAAUGUCUUGAGGAACCCCUCAUGGAACUCAAUUAUCCUUUAUUAUCUUAUCUAUUACCUACUCAGGCAAUUACCUUACUAAUAUUUCAGCUUCAAUGUUGGUUGAAUGCCACUCAACUCAUUCAUGACUAUUAUUUACCAUCAAUCUUAUAUAUUCUCACUGUGUCAAUGUUUAUAUAUGUUACUGCAUGAUUGAUUAUGCGCUAAUCUCACUUUUAAGGAAAAUGUUGAACCAAUUAUAUUGAAAAUUCAUCAUAUUGUCCUCUUAAAUGAGAUGUAAAAUUCAAAUUACCAUAAAUAACCUAUUUCACUAACAACCCUACCUUAAUUCUGGAAUAAUCACUUUAUUCCCUACAAUUUCAACUCUUUAUGAUGCAAUUUGUUAGUCAAUAAAUAAUCACUUUACUCUAGCUCCAUUCUCCUAGGACUUCUUAAGUACAUACUACAAAGGUAACUGUGCUCCCCGAUUUUCGGAUAUCAAACCAUUGAUUGAUUUGAAUCGUCAAUCUUUGAACUCUCGAUUUUUAUUCUUGGGAAGGGAAAAAAUGAGUAAAAACCCCUUCGAGACUUUGGAUUCGGGGGUUGGUUACGCGAAGGGAAGGUGCUAGCACCCUAAGCGUCUAUGGUAUCCCAUAGGAACCUCUUACCUAGAUUAUCUUGUGCUAAAUUCAUUGUUUAUUUGAAAAUUAUUACCUAAAAAUCUAAGUGAAAGAAUGGAGGGAGAAGAAGUAUGUUUUUGGUUAUUUUUAUUUGAUUUGGAAGGACAAGUCCUCUGCCUACGUACCCUUUUUUGGGAAAGGGAUCAAAACCGACGUAGUUCCACUAAAAAAUUUCUUUGGUGGGUUAGGUUGGUUUUAAGAUUUUUUUUGAAAAUGGUUUUAAUAAUAGAAAGAGGCCUCAAGGCAUGAGAUAAAAGAAAUGAGUGAGGUUGAUUAAUUUUAAAUUUUGAAAAUGAUUGAAGUUGAAUUAAGAUUGAUUGAGAGUUUGAUUAAGAAAAUAAAGGAAAAAAUGUUAUUAAGAAAAUGAUUUUGAAGUUUUGCAUAUUUGAUUUUUUUUAAAAAAAAAAGAUUUUUCUAAACUAACGCACGGCAUAACGAAUAAUGAGCGGAAAGCGAUAAAGGAAAUAAAUGUGUGAUAGUGUCGGUGCUUGUGUUACCUACGUUAUUACAUCAAUUCCUAAAUACAACCCUAAGGCCUUUAUGCCAAAAUAAAAUGCAAGAAAUAAAAUUACAUCAAUCCCCUAUUUAUACACACUAAGUCAGUGACAAAGUAAAAUGAUGAGAAAAUUAAAUGUGCAUGCUAUGAUUCAAGACAAAAAUUAAAUAGUUAGUAAUCACAAGAAAUAUUAUGAUGAAUGAGACAUACGAAAUAAUAAGCAAGAAUUAAGACAAAUAAUAAUUAAGAUCAUCAUAUAAGAAAUAGAUAAAAAAAAAAAUUAAAAGGAAACAAUUAGGAUGGAUUUUUAAAAUUAGAGAAAAUUAAAAUAGUGAGAAAAAUAUUUUUUAGAAUUUUUCUAAACACAAAAAUGUCAAAAAGUGUAAAAAACAGUAUUUAAAAAAACAAAGAUAAUUAAAAAUAAGAAAUAAUAAAACAUUGGCUCAGCAGGAUCAAAUCUGGGCCGUUGGAUGAAUCCAGAGGUCCAGAUCUGAAUCCCAAAAUCUCAUCACAGCCCUAGGAUCUAAGAUCCAACAGUUAAACCAAACAGAACAUGGAAUACUGCAAGCAAGGAACACGCGUGUGAUCUAAACAGAAUCAUCCCUGACCGUUAGAUUAAAAAUCAAACAGUCUAGAUCUGAAGAUGUACCAAGUACCACCAUAGAUUGCACAUGCAUGACCGUUAGAUUAAAAAAAAGGAAGGAUCUAAAGGUUUAGAAAGAAGGGAAAGAGGAAUCAUAUGGACCGGUCCGGUUCAGAUAAACCAGACCGGUUCACACAUGCUUAUAAAAGGAGCUGGGACCAGUUUUUUUCUUAUUUCCUCCUUCCUCCCUCUCUCUAAAACACUUCUAGUGAGAGAAGGUCUGCAAGUGCAGCCUUCUUCUCCGGUGAGCCAUGCGAUUUCCGGCGUGGUGGCCGCCGGCCAACAGGCGGCGCCGCCGCGCCGGAGGAACAAAACUCCUCCGUUUGCAAUUUUUUUUACGUUUUUAAAGAUCCUUUUUCUUGCUUUGUGUGAAUCUGAACUUAGAUUUUUGAAAACAAGUCCCAAACAGAGUAGAUCUGAGCUUAGAUUUUUACCUCAAAUUGAGUCCGUUGCAGUUCUCCUUCCUUGCUUGAAUCCGGUUCGUUCUCUGCUUGCUCCGGUCUGGUUCGGUCUUGCUUCCUUACUCGAAUCCGGUUCGGCUUGGAUCUUACUUGCUUUUGUGAUUGUGUUCGAGUCUUUUGAGUUUAUACACGAUUUGGAUCUGUUUGUUACUGUUUGUUACCGAUCUGUUUGUUACGGGUCCGUGGCAGCUUUGUGAUGUUUGGAUGAUGAUGAUUUAUGUGUUAGUGUGGAGUGAUUCGAGGUUGAUUCUUGAAAUUUUGUUGGAGAAUAUUGUUCAUGUUGCUCUUGACAUGUUCAUCUAUUUUUCAUUGAUUUUUGAUAAUUUGAUCCGAAAAAGUAGAAAGAGAGAAGGGAUUUGGGUUUUUGAACUUUUGUGGCUGUUGAUUGAUGUAUCCGUGUAAUAAUUUCUGUACCGCCCCCUUUUUCCAAUGAUUGGCAGUGUACUUAUAGUGACAAAAUAGGGUUGGCUCUGGUACACAUCAAAGACCAAAAUACCCCUGCAGCUAAGACUUGGAGAAAAAGACUUGAACAAAAAGACAAAGAAUAAAAAAUAAACAACACAACAAAAAAACAAAAAUAAUAACAAUAAAAGAAGAAAUAAUAAAAAAACAAAUAAAAUAAAAAACAAAUAAAAAUAAAAAAUAAAAUAAAAAUGAAGAUUAAAUAAACGUAAAAACAAUGUCCCUUCGGAACCAAAUGAGGUACUUCAAAGUAACCUCCCUGCCGAAAUUUUGUUUGAAAUGAUAAAAAGACGCGACUUUUAAAAUAUGAUUAAACCUUUUAAAAUGACUUGAUUAUUAUGACUAACAAGAUUAUAAAAUGCGCUCAAAAAGUUAUAAAAAUGUAGAUAAAUUUUUUUUUUAAAUGAUUAAAGAAGAAAAACACGAGUUUUAAAUGGUAAAAAAAAACAAAUAGAAGAGAAUGUGGACUAUUUUUAAAUAUGGACAAAAAAGAUUUUAAAUGGUCCAAAUUUGGGGUAUGACAGAUGCCCCUAUUUAAGUUUCUUCGUCACGAAGGUUUUAAAAGGGAAAACUUUUAAACCAAAGGGUCGAAGAUACUUAAAUAUAAAAAAAACGCCAAUUUUGGACCGUUUAAAAUGCCAGGCAUGCGAUGCUGAUGAAUGUGAUGAUAUGACUGAACAUGAUGCAAGCAUGAAUGUAAAGAUGAUGCAUAAAGACUGACUGGGGACAAAUGGACAGAUAUCACUGGGGAAAGAAAUGGUAAGUAAUGUUUAUGAUUGAUGUUCGUUAACAUUGCUUCAAGGUAAAGGUAGGGACAUGAUUAGACGAUGAGUGACGAAAAUAACGACAUGAUUAGCCGACAAGUGGUGAAAGUAAAGACAUGAUUAACCAAUGAGUGGCGAAAGUAAAGACAUGAUUUGACGACGAGUGGCGAAAGUAAAGACAUGAUUAGCCGACGAGUGGCGAAAGUAAAGACAUGAUUUGCCGACGAGUGGCGAAAGUAAAGACAUGAUUGGCCGACGAGUGGCGAAAGUAAAGACAUGAUUUAGCCGACGAGUGGCGAAAGUAAAGACAUGAUGGACCGACAGGGUUUGCUAACAUUGUGGGAUAGCGCACACACGGUAAAAAAAUAAAGGUAAGACAGACCAUUAGCAUUUGCUAAAAGCAAAGCCUCCGGUGAAAGUAAAGACAAUGUAAAGCUUGGUAUCAGUGGGGAUUAACUUGACGAAGAUACACCUGAGGGGAACAAGGAAUUUGUCUAAAGACAAAGGGGAAUUGUAUAGACUGAUUACUGGUGAGACCUGCCACAUGUUUGAUUUGAUGAUAUUUUGGAGUUAGACACAAUGGGGGUGAUAUCUAAGGAUAUUGAAAUAAGUCAUUGGGUAAAAAUGCAACUAUGUAUGAAUGAUAUUUAUAUGCGUGCUAUGUAUGCAUGAAUGAAUGAGUAUGUAUGAGACUCAUAUGACGGCAUAAUGGUAAGAUUGUUGAGGCAGGACUAGGCAGGUCUACAAGGAGAACGGCCCGGCAUCACUGGACGAACACUCGAAACCUUCAUUGGGGAUAAAGCCACGGGGAAUGAAUCAACCAUUGUUGGGGUACAGCCCUUAAACAUACUGCUGGGGUAAGUCCUCACAAACUGGGGAAGAAGUCGCCAUUUCACCAAUGCAACACCGUAUUGUCUUGUCUGAAUAGUCAUUGCUUUUUGUAUAUAUUUUUGAAAUCCCUAACUUUUGCCUGGAUCGUCCUUUCGGAUUUUGGAUCCACCGGGGAGGUUUUUUUUUUUUUUUUUUUUUUUUUUGCAAUGACUGCUGCUCCUUCGUUGAACCUGCUAGUUUCGGACCAACUGUUGACACAUACCUCUGUAUUUUCAAACUGUUCGAUGGAGAACGUGUCGUUUGAAAUACUGAGGAAGCGAGGUAAAAUGGAUUUCCAAACUGUUCAAUGAAGAACGUGCCAUUUGAAAUAUUGUGGAUUGGUGACAUCUCUGGAUCAGCCACACUAGUGAUGACACUUUUAAUGAGAUACCAUUGAAAUAAGACACUGGAUGGUAAUGCAAUUUAUUUAUAAAUGAUAUUUGUAUGCAUGUUAGAUGUGCAUGAAUGUUAUAUGCAUGUAUAUGUAUAUGAAUGAAUGUAUGAAUAUACGCAUGAAACUUGUAGGACCGUAUGACUGUAUAUAACAGGUGAAACUGACAAACAAGACUGGAUAGGUAAGAUAGGAGGUUGAACGACAUCGCAGUACAAACACUCAGCAAUCUUCAUUGGAAAUAAUAUCACUGGAGAUGAAUCAACUUAAUGUUGGGGUAAAGCACGAUAUCAAACCACGAGUAGGGGAAACAAACCAUUAAUCAGGCCACUGAAAGGAGAAUGCCCCAUAAUCAAACCACUUGAAGGGAGAAUGCCCCAUAAUCAAACCACAAGCAGAGGUUGCCAUUAAUCAACCCACAAGAGAGGUACCAACCCAUGUUUUGGCAGAAGUCGCCAUACAUCAAACCAUAGGCAGAAGUUACCAUUUGUAAAACCAAUACCGAGUGCAUUCUUCCAUUUGACCCUCUUGCACUGUGAUGUCUCUGUCUUUUGUUUUUUUUUCAUUUCAUUUUUUUUUUAUAUUUUUUUGAAUCCCUAACUUUUGCCUGGACCGCCCUUUCGGGUUUUCGAUCCACCAGGACGCUCAUUUUUGGCUUAAGCCGCCCUUUCGGGUUUUCGACUUAAUGAGGUUUUUUUUUUUUUUUUUUUUUUUUUUUUGACAGAGGUCAUCUCUCAGCUUUUGGUCAUGCCAACCUUGCAGAGUUUAACUGUCCUUGAGACGGAUGUUGAUGUAUGUUUCACCUGCUCAUAAGUUCAAAGAAGAUGUAUCUGUUGUUUAUGCUUUUCAGAAGACAUGAUUUAAAAGUUUUUUUUUUUUUUUUUUUUUUUAAAAGAUUUUUUUGAAUUUUUUUUUUUUGCUUUAGGUAUUAACAUCAAAAAUAGAAGAAAAAUUUGCAAACAGAAUAAAUGAGAAUUUUAAAUAAAUGGGCACAAGCUCAAGUUAAUGUAAAUGGAAUGGUGGCCUGCCAAAGGCGUGGUUCCACAGAUUUUAAAAGUUUGGAAAAAUGGUAAUUAUAUGGAAAAGGUACGUUGAACACAAUAACCACUGUUUCUUCUACCAACUUUGAAUUCCACUGUUUUGAGUCUUUGAUUUGCAGACGCUUCAGAUCGGAAGCCCUUUAACAGCUAAGAUGCCCCAGAUGAAUCAUAUCUGAUUUGAUGCAAUUACCUUGCCAUGAGUCGGAGGUCUUUUGACGGCUGAAAUGCCCCAUAUGAGUCAUGUCCGACCAGAUGCAGUUACUUUGUCAUGAUCCUUAACUUUUGCAUAGAUCGCCUUUGCGGGUUUCAACCUAUCAGGAUAAUCAUUUAUUUUUUUUAUAUGUCUCUAACUUUUGUAUGGGCCGCCCUUUUGGGUUUUCAGUCCAUCGAGACGCUCUUUUUUUUGCCUAAGCCGCCUUUUCCGGUUUGCGACUUAUCGAGCUUUUUCAUUUUAACAAAGUAUUUCUUGACUGCAUCGGUAUUCACAGGACAUACAAGUUUAACCUCAUGCUUUGUAUUAGGCAUUCAUUGCUCCUGGAGCUUGUUUAAAUCAGAUAGCAUAACUUUUGAGCACAAGGCCACUCUCUUGACAUUCAUGGGGACGAGCCUUCUCUUGUUGAAAACAUGCUUUUGAUACGAUUGUUCACGCCCCACGGCAAUAACACUUUUAACUUCAAUCAAGCUUAGCUUUCAUUGGAACUCCCAUUGACGGGACUUUGACCUUCAUGUGAGGCACUGCCUUUAUGUUGUAUACUGAGGGAUGGAGGGGGGGUUGCCCCUGCUGAAGUGUUCACUUGAAGUACAAUAUCCUUGCAAGGAAAAUGGUGGCAUCUCGUGCCAGUCUUUGUACAUGAAAGUCCUCUUCUAGACAAUCUCUUUUGAUAUUUGCAGCUUCGACGGCCAAGAUGCCCCAGUAGGCGAGAAAUCUCAGUGGAAGCUUCUUCAUCAUCCUCUUAUUCAGCCUCGGAUACAAGAAACUCAAGGUCGAGAGGGAGUAUAUGAUUAAAGUGUUCAACGGGUUUAUUAAUGCAUGAUUUGAUUAUAUAAACAUUAUGAUUAUGCAGAUAUGUGGCAAUGAUUUAAAGAAAAAAAUUCUUUUUUGUUUUUGUUUUUGUUUUUUGUAUUACCAUUUUUCCAGAAAAAGCACAAAAUAAAACAAAGUCGGGAUCAAGCGACCUUUCCUUAAUGAUGAAAAUACGAAAAGCAAAGAGCCCUAAACAAGUUCACUUCCGUCUCGGGUGGGACGAAAGGAUAAAAAAAAAAACAUAAAGCAAUAAACAAACAUAUUAAUUGAACAAAAGAGUAGUAGAAAUAAACAUCAACAAAUACCAAAUUGCAACUAAACACUCCACAUGCCACCACAAGGUCCAAAGAUCCGAUAAAGGAUUAACUUGCACAUUCAGAUCCAAACUCUUCGAAAGGUAUGAGAUCGUCUUCAAUCAGUUUCUGGACCGCAAUCUUCAAAGAAAAACAGCGCUCAACAUCAUGACAUUGUGCCCCUUGAUGGAAAACACAAAAGAGAUCAGGUCUCCAUCGAGCCGGCAAUAUCUUCGGUAUCGGAGGAGGUGGCCUGAUUUGGACAAGGUUCCUCUCAAGCAAAUAGGGAAGCAACUUUGCAUAUUUAAUUGGAAUUGGAUCAAAUUUUAUUCUUGGAGCUUGUAGUCGAAGUUGUUGUUGAUAUUGUUGAAAUUGGGACUGAUAACCCAAAUCUUGGACCGCGUUCAUGAUGGGCAUAACAGCGGAAACAGAGAGAGGAGCCAGAUAUUGUUGUUGGCUUGGUUGAAACUGGGGUUGAUAACCCGGAUCUUGAACAUUGGUGAUGGGUGUAACAGCAGCAACAGAGUGAGAAGCCAGAUGUUGUUGUUGAAGUAGCACUUUUAUAUCUGGGUCUUCGAAGGACCAGGCGUUAUUUUCAAUCAACUUCUGAACUUUUUCCUUCAAAGGAUAGUACUGCUUAGUGUCAUGAUCUGGUGCCCCUUGAUGGAAGGCACAAUUGCGGUCAGGACGAAACAGCGUAUUUGGCACAUGAGGAGGUGACAAGGUUUGAACAAGGUUCGUCUUCAGCAAAAUGGGAAGCAAAUCCGCAUAUUUCACAGGAAACGGGUCACACUGAGACGCUUUUUGGGCCUGAUUUUGAGGUAUAAGCGGUUGAGGAGACUGAUUUUGAGGAAUAAACCGCUGAGAACCCUGUUGUCGAGGCUUUUGAGGGCACAUUGGCUGAUAUGGUGAUUGAGGCCUUUGUUGGACAAGCGGUGGAUCGUUUGUAGCCAUCAAUGAAGAUACAAGGCUAGUUAACUUCUCUACCUCAGCCCGAAGUGUUGUUACCUCUCCCCGAAGUUCCUGGACUUCUUGCUCAAGCCGAUCCAUUUUUCCUGUUUGCACGAGUGUCUGCAUAUGCGAGCCGAACUUGGAUGAAGACAUCUGACCACUUUACUGACGGAUUAACCCUCUUUAUGGAGAAGACACAGUGUGAGAUACAGACUAGAAACUAUGAAUGCAAAAUGAUGCAUGAUAUAUGUAUGCAAAAAUGUAUGUUUUUUUUUGAAGGACUAAUCAAAGUUACUUUGUAAACAUGUUUUCAUUUGAAAAUUGUGAAGAUAUUGCAAAAGGUAAGAUCAAAACCAAGGAAAAAGUUCUUAACAAAAGUUAAAACUUAGUUAAGAUUUUUUGAAGUUGUAUCUCUUGGUGUUCAUUCUUACAAGGUCCAUACCCAUGAUGUUUGCAAAAAAAAACUUGUGUAAGUCCUUCAAUUUUUGAUGGAAAAAGUAGUUUAUGGAUGAAUGCAUGUAUGCAUGGUUAUGCUAAAGUACAUAGAAUACAUGGUGAUGUUAAGUCCACAUGUUGGAGUCGAAGGUAACAACGUCAUUUGGUAAGGACUAUGGUUUAAAUUGCACUUGUAACAAGGGUUCUACCGAGGUUCCCAAAGUCAUUGACCACUUCCGAAUAUUAUCGGAUACCGAGAAAACACCCGGUCCACCAACGUUCGUAGGAAAGUCUCAUUUGAGUGUAGUAUCGCGUAUCGACUAAUUCCGAGAAAACACCCGGUUAGCCACCGCACUACGUCCUAAAAGGCCAAGAUGGGUUAAGGGUUACUAAAAGUUCUUAGCUUCAUUGGAAAAUUAAAAGUAAUAAAGUCUAAACGUGAAAACACACGCCGACAUUUAUUACUUCAAUCUCCUUUGCUAAGUGUGGUUAUCUCACGUGUGACAAGACACGAGUAUACUCUCGGUAUGCCACUAUGAGUCUACCACUCCUAUCUUACAUUUCCCUCAAGCUCGGGUGUAGAGCUUAUUUUCUCACCCCUCACGUAAUAAGGUAAACAUAUAAGCAAAUAUUUACAAGAUAUAAACAAAUAAUAAAGCACAAAAUAAAGAAAGUAAGGUGGGUUUAACCCGCAUAGGACCUAAGUCCCCAGUGAAGUCGCCAUUCUGUGCUCCCCGAUUUUCGGAUAUCAAACCAUUGAUUGAUUUGAAUCGUCAAUCUUUGAACUCUCGAUUUUUAUUCUUGGGAAGGGAAAAAAUGAGUAAAAACCCCUUCGAGACUUUGGAUUCGGGGGUUGGUUACGCGAAGGGAAGGUGCUAGCACCCUAAGCGUCUAUGGUAUCCCAUAGGAACCUCUUACCUAGAUUAUCUUGUGCUAAAUUCAUUGUUUAUUUGAAAAUUAUUACCUAAAAAUCUAAGUGAAAGAAUGGAGGGAGAAGAAGUAUGUUUUUGGUUAUUUUUAUUUGAUUUGGAAGGACAAGUCCUCUGCCUACGUACCCUUUUUUGGGAAAGGGAUCAAAACCGACGUAGUUCCACUAAAAAAUUUCUUUGGUGGGUUAGGUUGGUUUUAAGAUUUUUUUUGAAAAUGGUUUUAAUAAUAGAAAGAGGCCUCAAGGCAUGAGAUAAAAGAAAUGAGUGAGGUUGAUUAAUUUUAAAUUUUGAAAAUGAUUGAAGUUGAAUUAAGAUUGAUUGAGAGUUUGAUUAAGAAAAUAAAGGAAAAAAUGUUAUUAAGAAAAUGAUUUUGAAGUUUUGCAUAUUUGAUUUUUUUUAAAAAAAAAAGAUUUUUCUAAACUAACGCACGGCAUAACGAAUAAUGAGCGGAAAGCGAUAAAGGAAAUAAAUGUGUGAUAGUGUCGGUGCUUGUGUUACCUACGUUAUUACAUCAAUUCCUAAAUACAACCCUAAGGCCUUUAUGCCAAAAUAAAAUGCAAGAAAUAAAAUUACAUCAAUCCCCUAUUUAUACACACUAAGUCAGUGACAAAGUAAAAUGAUGAGAAAAUUAAAUGUGCAUGCUAUGAUUCAAGACAAAAAUUAAAUAGUUAGUAAUCACAAGAAAUAUUAUGAUGAAUGAGACAUACGAAAUAAUAAGCAAGAAUUAAGACAAAUAAUAAUUAAGAUCAUCAUAUAAGAAAUAGAUAAAAAAAAAAUUAAAAGGAAACAAUUAGGAUGGAUUUUUAAAAUUAGAGAAAAUUAAAAUAGUGAGAAAAAUAUUUUUUAGAAUUUUUCUAAACACAAAAAUGUCAAAAAGUGUAAAAAACAGUAUUUAAAAAAACAAAGAUAAUUAAAAAUAAGAAAUAAUAAAACAUUGGCUCAGCAGGAUCAAAUCUGGGCCGUUGGAUGAAUCCAGAGGUCCAGAUCUGAAUCCCAAAAUCUCAUCACAGCCCUAGGAUCUAAGAUCCAACAGUUAAACCAAACAGAACAUGGAAUACUGCAAGCAAGGAACACGCGUGUGAUCUAAACAGAAUCAUCCCUGACCGUUAGAUUAAAAAUCAAACAGUCUAGAUCUGAAGAUGUACCAAGUACCACCAUAGAUUGCACAUGCAUGACCGUUAGAUUAAAAAAAGGAAGGAUCUAAAGGUUUAGAAAGAAGGGAAAGAGGAAUCAUAUGGACCGGUCCGGUUCAGAUAAACCAGACCGGUUCACACAUGCUUAUAAAAGGAGCUGGGACCAGUUUUUUUCUUAUUUCCUCCUUCCUCCCUCUCUCUAAAACACUUCUAGUGAGAGAAGGUCUGCAAGUGCAGCCUUCUUCUCCGGUGAGCCAUGCGAUUUCCGGCGUGGUGGCCGCCGGCCAACAGGCGGCGCCGCCGCGCCGGAGGAACAAAACUCCUCCGUUUGCAAUUUUUUUUACGUUUUUAAAGAUCCUUUUUCUUGCUUUGUGUGAAUCUGAACUUAGAUUUUUGAAAACAAGUCCCAAACAGAGUAGAUCUGAGCUUAGAUUUUUACCUCAAAUUGAGUCCGUUGCAGUUCUCCUUCCUUGCUUGAAUCCGGUUCGUUCUCUGCUUGCUCCGGUCUGGUUCGGUCUUGCUUCCUUACUCGAAUCCGGUUCGGCUUGGAUCUUACUUGCUUUUGUGAUUGUGUUCGAGUCUUUUGAGUUUAUACACGAUUUGGAUCUGUUUGUUACUGUUUGUUACCGAUCUGUUUGUUACGGGUCCGUGGCAGCUUUGUGAUGUUUGGAUGAUGAUGAUUUAUGUGUUAGUGUGGAGUGAUUCGAGGUUGAUUCUUGAAAUUUUGUUGGAGAAUAUUGUUCAUGUUGCUCUUGACAUGUUCAUCUAUUUUUCAUUGAUUUUUGAUAAUUUGAUCCGAAAAAGUAGAAAGAGAGAAGGGAUUUGGGUUUUUGAACUUUUGUGGCUGUUGAUUGAUGUAUCCGUGUAAUAAUUUCUGUACCGCCCCCUUUUUCCAAUGAUUGGCAGUGUACUUAUAGUGACAAAAUAGGGUUGGCUCUGGUACACAUCAAAGACCAAAAUACCCCUGCAGCUAAGACUUGGAGAAAAAGACUUGACAAAAAGACAAAGAAUAAAAAAUAAACAACACACAAAAAAACAAAAAUAAUAACAAUAAAAGAAGAAAUAAUAAAAAAACAAAUAAAAUAAAAAACAAAUAAAAAUAAAAAAUAAAAUAAAAAUGAAGAUUAAAUAAACGUAAAAACAAUGUCCCUUCGGAACCAAAUGAGGUACUUCAAAGUAACCUCCCUGCCGAAAUUUUGUUUGAAAUGAUAAAAAGACGCGACUUUUAAAAUAUGAUUAAACCUUUUAAAAUGACUUGAUUAUUAUGACUAACAAGAUUAUAAAAUGCGCUCAAAAAGUUAUAAAAAUGUAGAUAAUUUUUUUUUUAAAUGAUUAAAGAAGAAAAACACGAGUUUUAAAUGGUAAAAAAAAACAAAUAGAAGAGAAUGUGGACUAUUUUUAAAUAUGGACAAAAAAGAUUUUAAAUGGUCCAAAUUUGGGGUAUGACAGUAACAUACUUACUUUAUCUUCCAAACUAUUAUAAUAUUAUCACAUUUACUAAUUACCACUUUUUCCUUUCUCAUUUUCAAACUAGGAGUCCAAAUAUUACUUUACAGCACUGAUGUGACAGUAGCAGACUAACAAAGGAUCUAUAACCACACUAGCUAUUUUUUCCUAGGACUUCUCAAGUACAUGCUAAAAAGGUAAUUCAUUUAUCUUGCAAUGUAUUAUAAUAUUAUAAAACUUACUAAUGACUUCUUUUAACUUUUUCACUUUCAAAUUUUGGAUUCAAAUUACAUUUUUAAGUUGGAGGGAAGCCACUUUUCGUUUCAAAUUUCAUUUGAAAUUUUUACCUUCUUUUCCAUUUCAAAAUACAGGAUAAGUGCACAACUUCAUAAAACACCUUCUUAUUUUAGCUUAAGUAAUACCAUUAUCAUAUUGCAUUAUCUUUCUCAACUUCUGAAAUUAACUAUACUUCUCAAUGGAGGAUGAAGAUGAUACAACAAGAAAGAAUAAAGCAUCUUUAAGAAGAUUGAGAAGAACAAAUUAUCUGAAACAAAGGAUCCAAAAGAGAGCCAAGCUUGACAUCAAUGUUACAAUCCAACGUACCCCUUUUGCUAAUAUCACUAACAAUAAUCUUCAAUCAAAUUUGCAGCAAUCAAAACAAGGCAAAAAAACUAAUCAGACUACUCAAAUCACUCCUUCAACCAGUAACUACACUCCUAAACAUCCAUUUAACAUAAACAUUCCAAACAUGUAUCGUGAUUCUUUUGGUGUCAUUGGUUCUGUGAUAAACAGUAACAUUCAGACACCAAUGGGGAACCAACCUGUUUUUUCACUUAAUGACAACACACCUCCACUUAGGCCAAUAUCAUUGUUCAACAAAAUACCUUAUGACAUAAAUACCAACGGAAAAACACCGCUGCCAACACCAAACAUUUUUUAUCCUGAAACUCUUCCAAAUUACACACAGCCAACGUCAUCAACUAAUUUUCAAAUGCCCAAAAGAACUCCAACGUUAUUGAAUCAACAAGGAGUAAACUUGAUGAACAGGUUUUCUGAAGUUGACACAGACAAAGCUUCAUCUUCAGGAGUCAAUGAUCAAAUACCAAAUCCAAUUGGAAGUUCUGAUGAUGAUACAAGUUCUGUUGAUACUGAAGAACAAGCAGCCUUCAUGUCACAUCAUGAAUCUGAAUCUAACAGCAGUGAAGAUGAAGAUGAGGUUAUGUCAAUCAAUAACAAUACACAACUUCCAAAUUUAGAAGCAGGUAAUGUUAUCAAUAUCCGUUGUUACAACAAGCUCAUUAUUAUCUUUUAUAUGCAAUAUAACUUUAACAACUAUUUAUUAUUAUCUCAGGUUAUUCUGAUAUUGGUGAUCCUUCUUUUGAAUGUCGUAAAUGUGGUGCAUGCAUGUGGUACCAAGAACGUAGGAGGAAGUCAAGAGAAAGUUCUAAUCCCGAGUUUGGAAUGUGUUGUGGCAAUGGAAAAAUUCAAAUACCUUUCUUGCCAACACCUCCUCCGUUAUUAAAUGAUCUUAUGUUCAACAAUUAUUCAACUGAAAGCAAACAAUUUAAUCAGAACAUAAGAUUAUAUAAUAGCAUAUUUGCAUUCAGCUCACCUGGAUUUAAGGUUGAUAAGGGAAUUAUACCAGGGAGAGGUCCACCAACUAUCAGAAUUCAAGGCCAAUCAUGUCACCGAAUGGGAAGUAUGAUUCCUGCUGCUGGAAAGACUCCAAAAUUUGCACAGCUGUAUAUAUUUGAUACAGAUAAUGAAUUGCAAAAUAGAGUUCAAGGGAUAAGGUAUAAUUUUCAGAAAAUUUUCUGUCUUUUUAGUUUUCAAUGUAUUUUAUUAAUUCAAUGUAUAAAUUAAACCACCCUUAUGUUUCAGGAAUCCUAAUCUCAAUAUGCAAACUGUGACAAAGUUGCAACAGAUGCUUGAUGACACCAACUGCCAUGCUAAAUCGUUUAGGAAAGCUCGUGAUAGAUUAAGGCAAGGCAAUGUUGAGAACUUAAAGUUAAAGCUCAUAUCAGAUAGAACAACUGAUGGAAGGAUUUAUAAUCAACCUACUGUCUCCGAAGUAGCAGCUUUGAUAGUAGGUGAUGUUGACUCUGCAGCAAGAAGAGAUAUAAUUAUGGAGAGGCAAAGUGGUCGUUUAGAAAGAAUUGAUGAGUUCCAUCCAGCAUAUCUUGCAUAUCAAUAUCCGCUGUUGUUUUCUUAUGGUGAAGAUGGAUAUAGAGAUGAUGUUCUUCACCGAGGCAUCGUUGCAGGUAAACAAUCAAAGAUGGAUCGACUAACAAUAAGAGAAUGGUUAACAUUUAGACUUCAAUCAAGGAAAACAGAAGCUAUGACAAUAUUGUGUGCAAGGAGGUUAUUUCAGCAGUUUUUGGUAGAUUGUUUUACAAUGAUGGAGGCUGAUAGAUUGAAAUGGUUGAGGAAAAACCAGUCCAAGUUAAGAGUUGGGAAAUACAGAAGUUUGAGUAACAACCAAGGCAAUGUAGAUGGCCAGACUAAAAAGCAGGGUAAGAGAGUUGUAUUGCCGUCAAGUUAUGUUGGUGGUCGUAGGUAUAUGGAUCAACUUUAUUUUGAUGGUAUGGCCAUUUCAAGUGAUGUUGGAUUUCCCGAUUUAUUUAUCACUUUCACGUGCAAUCCAAGUUGGCCUGAAAUACAACGCUUUGUUGGUGCAAAGGGUUUGAAACCACACGACCGACCAGACAUCAUAGCAAGAGUUUUCAAAAUUAAGUUUGAUGAACUUCUCAAUGAUUUGACAAAAAAACAUAUCCUUGGCAAAGUAGUUGCAUGUAAGUUUUAUUUCUAUAUAUCUCAGUAACUUUCAAAGUUUAUUCUAUAAACACUGACAUAGCUGAUUAUUCUUUUUCCUAUAGAUAUGUACACAAUUGAGUUUCAAAAGAGAGGACUACCGCAUGCUCAUAUUCUUAUAUUCUUGCACCCUUCCAGUAAGUAUCCUACACCAGAUCACAUUAAUCAGAUAAUUUCUGCUGAGAUACCACACCCUGAGAAUGAUAGAGAACUGUACAAAUUAGUUGGCACUCAUAUGAUGCAUGAACCAUGUGGUUUAGCAAAACCAUCAUCCCCUUGCAUGAAAAAAAAAGAUAAAUGUUCCAAGUUUUUCCCGAAAAAGUUUCAGGCAACCACAGUUGUUGAUCAUGAAGGUUAUCCUGUGUACAGAAGAAGGGAUAAUGGUAGGCAAAUUAUUAAAAAUGGAAUCAGCUUGGAUAACAGAUAUGUUGUGCCACACAAUCCAUAUUUAUUGAUGAAAUAUCAAGCUCAUAUAAAUAUGGAAUGGUGUAAUCAAUCAAGUUCAAUCAAAUACUUAUUCAAAUAUAUUAACAAAGGAUAUGAUAGAAUCACUGCUGCAGUCGUUUCCGAUGACUCAAGUCAAUCCAAUGUAAAUGACAAUGCAGAUGAGAUUAAACAAUAUCUUGAUUGUCGCUAUGUUUCACCUAGCGAAGCUUGCUGGAGGAUAUUUGCCUUUCCAAUCCAUGGAAGAAAGCCAGCUGUUGAAAGAUUGUUCUAUCAUUUGUCUGGAGAGCAAUCAGUUUAUUUCAAUGAUUAUGAGCAAGUGGAUGAUGUCCUACUAAAGCCUUCUGUUACUGAAUCGAUGUUUACAUCGUGGCUUCAAUGCAACGCUAAAUAUCCUGAAGCACGAUCUCUUACUUACUCAAAAUUUGUGUCCAAGUUUGUUUAUGUUAAAUCUACAAGAACCUGGAAACCAAGGAAAAAAGGAUACACAAUUGGAAGGUUAAUGUGGGUGCCGCCGAGUACAGGUGAAGUCUUCUAUUUGAGGAUGAUGUUAGCAGUUGUCAAGGGACCAACUUCCUAUGAAGAUAUUAAAACUGUCAAUAACAUUUACUACGAUACUUUUAGGGAAGCAUGUUAUGCAAUGGGCUUCUUGGGGGAUGAUAAAGAAUAUAUAGAAGCAAUAAAGGAAAUGAGUGUUUGGGCAACCGGUGUUUUCAUAAGAAUACUAUUUGUAACUCUGCUACUUACCGCGACUAUGGACAGGCCGGUUCAUGUUUGGAAUAACACGUGGAAGUGGUUAAGCGAUGGUGUUCUAUACGAACAAAGACGAGUGGCUAAUAACAGAGGUAUAAUUCUACUUAUAUCUUUUUUUAUUAUUGAAUAAUUCUAUUCUCAUUUUAUUAUAUUCUAAUCCUACCAGAUUUGGAGCUCACCGAUGAUCAAAUUAAGAACUUAACUCUGACAUUAAUUGAAAAGCACAUGGAGAAGAAUAGAAGAUCUUUAAAGGAAUUUAAAGGAUUUCCAUACCCAACAGAUUAUGUGAUGGAAGAGCUUGGUAACAGAUUGAUUUAUGAUGAGCUUAACUAUGAUGAAGAUGCAUUGAAGUUGGAAUUCAAAAGACUAUUCAGUACUGUAACAGGUAAAGUGCAAAUACAUUGGUGUUAUUUCGAUAUUUCUAACUAUCAAUUCAUAGAUUUAAUAUAUAUUUUAUACAAAUUCAGAUGAACAAAGAAACAUUUAUCAUAAAAUAAUGUCUGCUGUUAAUGGACAAAAUGGUGGUGUGUUUUUCUUACACGGUUACGGAGGAACAGGCAAAACAUUUAUGUGGACAACUUUAGCUGCUUCAUUGAGGAGUCAGGGUAAAAUUGUUCUAACUGUUGCAACAAGUGGUAUUGCUUCUCUUUUGUUACCUGGAGGGCGAACUGCUCACUCAAAAUUCAAAAUACCUGUGCCUUCAUUUGAAAACUCAACAUGUAACAUUGAUGGUGAUAGCGAUCUUGCAAAACUGUUAAAAGUUACAAACUUGAUCAUAUGGGAUGAGGCACCAAUGGCUCAUAAGUUAUGUUUUGAAGCUUUGGAUAGAACUCUAAAAGACAUUAUGUCCGACACUACGGACGGUGACAAAAUAUUUGGUGGCAAGGUCAUUGUGUUUGGAGGAGACUUUAGGCAAAUUUUACCAGUUGUGCCAAGAGCUGACAGGUCAGACAUUAUAAAUUCAUCAAUAAAUUCUUCAUACAUUUGGGAUGAAUGUAUUGUUCUAACACUAACUAAAAAUAUGCGCCUACGAUCUAAUGUUGGAUCAUCUGAUGCCGAUGAGUUAAAGACUUUCUCCGAAUGGAUACUGAAGGUUGGUGAGGGAAAGAUAUCUGAGCCAAAUGAUGGCAUCGUAGAUUUUGAAAUACCUGAUGACCUGUUAAUUAAGGAGUUUGAUGAUCCAAUUGAGGCUAUUAUGAAAAGUACUUAUCCAAACUUUUUGAAUAUGUACAACAAUCCUGAUUAUCUACAGCAAAGAGCUAUUCUUGCAUCAACCAUAGAUGUGGUUGAUAAAAUAAAUGACUAUGUUCUUUCAAUUAUUCCAGGUAUGCACAAUCCUCAUUAUUGAUUGACUCUAUGAUAUACAUUCAAAAUUACUACAUAUUCACUAAACUGAUUCUGUUUUAUUCAUGAAGGAGAGGAGAAAGAAUACUUCAGCUCUGAUUCCAUAGACAGGUCAGAAGUUAACGACCAAUGCCAGUCUUUUCAGUUAUUCACUCCAGAAUUCUUAAGUACAUUAAGAACUUCAGGACUUCCAAACCAUAAAAUUAAACUAAAAGUUGGAACUCCUAUAAUGCUAUUGAGAAAUUUAGAUCAAGUAGAGGGAUUAUGCAACGGUACUCGACUAAUUGUUACUAGGAUGGCUAAUCAUGUGAUUGAAGCUAAGAUCAUUUCAGGUAAAAAUGUUGGCAACCUAACAUAUAUACCAAGAAUGUCCAUGUCACCUUCUCAAUCUCCCUGGCCUUUUAAACUUAUCAGAAGACAGUUUCCUAUUAUUGUAUCCUAUGCAAUGACUAUAAAUAAGUCACAAGGCCAGACUCUUGACAGUGUUGGUCUAUAUUUGCCAAGAUCAGUGUUCAGUCAUGGUCAAUUGUACGUUGCAUUCUCCAGGGUCAGGACUAAAGCCGGUCUAAAAAUCUUGAUUCAUGAUCUAGAAAAAAAACCACUUUCCAACACCACAAAUGUGGUUUACAAGGAAGUUUUUGAUAACCUUUACUGAGUAAGUUUAUUUCCCUGUUUUCAUUAACUUUAUUGUCAAUAUUAACAUCAAUAUAUAUAUAUAUAUAUAUAUAUAUAUAUAUAUAUAUAUAUAUAUAUAUAUGACUGUUUGUAUCAUAACAAAAAAUUUCUUUUAAUAUCAUUAAGUUUUCAAAUUGUAACUUUUUUUUUUUAUACACAGAUUGAUCAACCCUGGUACAUGCUUCAAUUCUUUCUGGCUACUGAUGAACAUGAGCAUAACUUGCAAUUUUCAAUUUUCAUGGUAAUUAUUUUCUACAUUUUAUAUAUAAUACUCAAAUUAUAUUUUGGCCUCUGAAUUGUUAAUAUAAAUAUAAUAUUCAUAUGCUCAUCUAUGUUAUACAAGAAGCCUAUAGCAUGUGGUCAAAUAUAACUCAAUCAAAAUUGGAAUAAAUACUGAAUGAAUUGACAAAUCAUAUCAACUCAUUAAUGAGACUAGAUGAAUGACUUGAACAAGACCACUCUUCAUUGAUAUGUAAAGAAUGCCUAUAACUUAUUACUUUAUUGAAUACUUUUGUUUACAUAGGGUACACUAUUUGCAGUAAAGAAUGCCUAAUGAUGGGAACACACACCAAGUUCAGCUGCAGCUGCAGAAAUGUGAAUCUGCACAUGACUUGGAAAUUGUUGCUUUUAUAUAGCUUUUUGGACUUACCAAUGAAUUUGUAUUGCUGCAAGUUAUGUUAAUUUUAUAGCUUCCUCAGGAAUUGUCUUUGGUAGAUGUAGCUUUUACAUUUCAACAAACAAUGCUUUUCAAGUUACACUCAAUGAAAUGGCUAAUCAAGUUAAAUGCAUGCCACAAUAAGACAAACUCAUAACUAUUUGCUUGCAUGCUUAUAUAGUCCUUUGGAAUAUUGUGUGCAGACUUUUGACAUUUAGCUUCAUAUAAUUUUAUACAAAACAAAUUAUAUUAUAUUGUUUUUUAUUAAACUCAAUAAGGACAAACAAGAUACAUCCAAAAUUACACAUCAAAUAAUAUAUUAUAUUUUUUUUUAAUGUAUGACUCAAAUCUAAGAAUAGGUUUCAACUAUAAAUACAUCUUCACUGCCAAAUCAUAUAUCUCUUCACUACUCAAUGGAAUCAAGUUCAUCAUCAAUUAGUCAAGUACCAGCCAAUGAAAGAUCUGUAAAUUGUAGCAUUGCUCCUUUAAUGACAUCCGAGCCUAAUAGACCAUUCUUCAUAGCUGUCUGCACUGAUGUAAUACUACUCUUUCUCAAUUCAUUUUUCCGAGUUUUAAUCAUCACUUUAGUAACAUUGUUUUAUUUAUUUGUAUAACAGAUCAUUUGCGAAAUAGAUCCCCUUUUUGUUGCUGAACACUACGACGAACUAAUAGACAUCUGGAGCUUGCAAGAUGGUUAUGGAAAUAGUCAUCAAGUUCAAUUUAACAAAUUGAUGCUUAUGCCAAUGCUUACGGAAGGUUGGCACCAAUUCAGAUUUUUUUAUCAUAUAACUUCAAAUCCACUUAUGUCUUUCACAUAUUUGGGUAAUAGUACAUUCCAAAUCAAAAUCUUCAAUGGUUCUACACCAAAAAUGAAUAUCCACGAUAUCAUAGACAUACUACUUCCUGUCUUAAAGAUCUCACAUUUGAUGUAGACAUGCCAGACAAAGAUCCAAUUAGUUCAAAAUUGGUAACUCUUCUAUCCUUCAUUAUGUUUCUAAAUCAAUUAUUUUUUUUUUUUACUAUUUUUCAAACAAAAAUAUACAUUAUUUAUUUCUUCCAUUUCAGAUUCUACCAACAAACCUUGGAAAUUUCCUUCAACUUAUAAAUCAUGAGUACUUAAGACUGUGUGGCACCUCUAACACUAUCACUGUUUGCAAACUGAUAUUCAAAAAAGAAACGAUAAAUCAAGGACCAACUGUCAUAAUUGGACGUGGAUGGAAAGCCUUCUGCUUGACCAAUCGAAUUUAUCCAGAAAGCCUUCUGAAAUUUAAAUGUGACUCAAUCAUGGCCAAAAACAUCGUUUCCGUUAUGAAAGUAUCUAGACGUUAUUAAUUUAUAAUCUAUCAUAGAUUAUUAUUGUAGUAUUGUUUUUACCUAACUAUUAUUAUUAACUAUUAUUAUUAAAUGGUUUGAAAAUCCAAAUCCAAACACUAGCUAACAAAUGGGUGUAGAAUCUCAAUAAAAAUUCACCUUUAUAUGCUGCAUAUAGUCAAGAUUCCUGAUAUAGAUUAGAUUGAUGCACCAUUCCAUUAUUCAUACACGCUAUCCUACUGCAUGAAGGACAUUUAUCCCAAUUUUAUAUUCUUCAUUCUUUAUACUUUUUAAUAUUUUGGUGCUACAAAUACACAUUGAUAGACACUUCAACUAUGUGACCAAUAACAACAUCAAUUUUAAGCUUUCAUAAAAUCAUCAACAUAAUGGCAAACUUCAUCACAAUGUAUCACAAUCCUCCCAUUGAUCAUUUUCGUGCCGUAAAGUUAUCAAUUCAGGUAAUUUGACCUUAAUUACUUAAAUGUUUAUUCUAAAAGUUUUUUUUUGAUAUAAUGUUUCUACUCAUUCUUUUAAUAUUCUAUAUAACUAUAGGACCGUGUCGAAGUUCAACCUGAAUUUGUAGAAAAAUACAAAGAUGAUCUCCAAGACCCAUGGAAUAUUAUGAAUAUGGAUGGUGGAAUGCACCAAAUCAAAUUCAAAAUAGGCUUGUAUAACCCUACUUUGAAGGAUGGAUGGGAACCACUCCAACAAUAUCAUCAUUUUCCAGACAAUGUUGACAUUAUUUUUGGAUACUACGGAAAUAAUUCUUUUUAAAGUUAUAAUGUUCAGGGAAGUAUUUUGCGCUACUAAAAUACCUUCUUUUCAUAGUCGUAGCAUGUAUCCAGAGGAAGUCAUUAUAUUUGAUAUACACAUUUCUGAUAAUGAUUUAAACACUCCAAUCAAGGUACGUUAUCAAUUUAUAUAGUUCAUUUUCAUAUUUUUCUAUAUCUAAUGUUCAGUUUAUUUUAAAGUUUUUUCGCAUGUUUGCCUUUUCAGAUGUUGCCCAAUCAUUUUGGGACCUUUCUUCAGAACGACUUUCGCAGUCUUCUAACUUUGUGUUGUGAUGAUGGAACAUUUUACUUUGUAGACAUUAUUCACUACGGUGAUUACGUCGACGACCCUAAUAGUGGAAUUCAAUGGAAUGAUUUCAUACUUAGCAAUUACAUUGUUGCAGGACAGAAACUUCGAUUUAAAUUCGAUCUUACUACUACCUAUAUGUGUCAUGUAUUUCCUAUUGAUGUUUAGUUUUAGCAGGAUGUAACAUAAAUAAUUGACUCCUAUGUUCAAAUUAUUCUAUGUAUCCUAUAAUUACCAUGUUUUCAUACCCGAAGCCUCUACCCAAUGAAUACCAGUGUCUCUUUCGCUACGCUUUCAAAUUGAUUUUUUAUUACCACUUCUAAUAAAUAAUAAUUUCCCCUUUACGUAAUAUUUCUCUUUAUAUUCCAUUUCAUAUCCUACCACCUAAUCUGGGUAAUUUUCUCAAAUCAAAAAACCAUGAGUACUUGAGGUUAUGUGGCAGUUCUAAUACUAUCACUGUUUGCAAAUUGAUAUUCAAAAUCGAUCCCGAAAAUAAUACAACAUCUGUGACCAUUGCAAGAGGAUGGACAACAUUUUGCUUGACCAUGUGUAAUAUUAUUAUUCUCCUCUUUUCUUUAAACUAUAUACUACCUCCGGUCCUAUUUAUAAGAGAAAUUUAGGUCAACAAAAGCGAAUGUAUUUGGACUGAAUUUUUAACUAGAUAUAUCAACUUUUGUAAACCGAAAAUUCUCUUAUAUAUAAAUUUUUACUAAUUUUGUUACCUGAUAGCUUUGAAAAAAUUUAUUCACCAAUAGAUAAUAUUCAAGUAUUUAAUGAAUAAUUAAUAAAUAUUCAAAUUAUCAUUAUCAAAGGCAAUUAUACAUAAAUUCUAUAUAUCAACCCGUGCGUUAGCACAAGUAUUGUUAUUAGCUACCUUACAUUGUAUACUAUUACUUGAAUAUUUUCCCACGUCAAUUUAACUGAAUACUAAGUGUACAUACUUUAUACAAUUGUACACUAUUGUUUUUUUUUUUUAGCAUUGCUCAUGCACCUCAUAGUACAACGACAUAACUUUUGUCGCGCGGCGCAGCCGCGCUACCCGUGCUCAGCACGGGUAUCUCGACUAGUUAUGAAUGGAGUUGGAAUCCACAAGAAUGUCUUACGAGGUAGGGGAUUUGGACAGAGGAGGUGCAAGUUGUAGUGCAGGGGCUGUUCUUAGUAUCCUGCUGUUCUGGGCUUGCAGGUUUGGUUGUCAGCCCAAUUUUUGUGUCAGCAGGAUGCUGGUUUUUGCUGUUUGGGCUAGUAUGUUGCUGUUGUCUGCAGUUCAGUUUCUGCUUUUUGCACACGGCAGCUGCUGGAUGAGUUUUUGGCUGGUGUUUCUUUGGGUAGUUUGUUGGUAGUAGUAGUGCUGGUGUUGAGGCAUGUGUAUGAGUGGUAUGGUUUUCACUUUAAGGUCUAAGUUGAAUGAUCCCUUCCAUCAAGAACACCUUUUUGACACAAAAAAAAAGUAUUUAUCCCUAUAAAAUUUUCAUUUUGGAUUCCGUCCUCGUAAAAUUAAUUUUUUCCGGAAAACACCCCUCCCCCAUAUGACUGUGCAUAUUUGCUGACGUGGUAUAUUGUGUGGCACGUUGACUGUACAUAUAUGCUUAUAUGGUGCGCUGACUGUAUAAUUAUUUUUUAUUUUUUAUUUUUUUAAGGGUACAUGUGGCAUUUGUGCCUAUUUUUUUUAAAAAAUAAAAAUGAAUUUAUAUUAAUUUAAAAAUGAAUAAAAAUUUGAAUAUUAAUUUUCGAAAAUUUAAAAUCUUAAAAUAUUGAUUUUUUUAAAAAAAUAAAAAAUCAAUAUAUAUUCAUUUACAUUAAUUUAAUAAUAAAAAAUUUAAAAAAUCUGAAAAUUAAUUUUCAAAAAUAAAAAAUAUCGUAAAAAUUAGAAGAAAAAAAACUCGUUUUUUAUUUUAAAAAAAUUCAGGAAAAAUAUUUUUUAUUUUUCAGAAUUUUCAAUUCUAACAAAAUAUGAUAUAAAUUUUAAUUUUUUUAAUUUACAAAGAAUUUUUUCUAGAAAUCUUUAUUGGUAGAAAAAGUUUAAAAAAACAGUUUUUUUUUUAAAAAAAAUCUGACCAUUUUUAUAAAUUUCGAUUUUUUUUUAUUUUUGAAAAUUAAAUUCCAGAAUUUUUAAUAAUCUUCUUAAUUUCGAAAAUGAUCCAAAUUGUUUUAAUUAAAAAAAAAACGAAUGUUUUUUCUGAUUUUAGAACAAAAAAAUUCUAAAUCAAAACACUGAUUUUUUGGUUUUAAAUUUUCGAGAAAAAAAUCUGAAUAUUUUUAUAAAUUUAAAAGAAAAAAUGAAUGUUUUUCUGAAUUAACAAUUUUUUUCGAUUGUAUAAAUUUUUGAAAAAAAAUGAAUAUAUUUCUGAUUUUAUCUAAUUUUUUAUAUUUCGAAAAAAAAUAUAAAAGUUUCUUCUGAUAUUUUCAAAUUUAGAAAGAAAAAUAAUCUUAAUUUUUUUGAAAAAAAAUCUGAAUAUUUUUCCAAUUUUAAAAAAAAAUCUUAAUGUGUAUCUAAUUUUUUUAAAUACUAAAAAUUCAAUUUUUUAAAUUUUUCAAAAAAAAUCUAAAUAUUUUUAUGAUUUUUUGGAUUUUUUAAUUUUAUUUUAAAUGAAUUUUUAUAUAUUUUUAAAAAUAAUCUGAUGUAGAGGGCCUUUUUUACAUGUGGCCAAUUAAAAAAAAAUAAAAAAUGCCAUAUCAGCGCCACAUAUUAGAUUCUGCUGCGUUGGAUGGGGGAGGGGGGUUUUUCGAAAAAAUAAAAUUUUACGAGGACGGAAUCCAAACCGAAAAUUUUAUAGGGGUGAAAACCGGAAAUAGCCUAUAUUACAGGGGCGAAAAACAAUACUAACCCUAUUAAAUAAAGUACAAACACAUGAUAACGAUAAAUUUCAAAUGAUUCCUGACUUAAUAAAAAUAGAAUUCAAAACCUCAAGAAGAACUCAAAAUAACUAAAACCAAAAGUUAAAACUUCUUUGACGGUCAAAACCUUCGUAACAAAUAUUUCUGUUUUUGUGUGUGUAAAUCGGGGAUCUUCCGCACACAAAUACGAAGUCUAAUUCCUCAAAUAUUGUGCAACCUUAAUGGAUGGCAAACUCUUCCUAAGAGGGAUAUUUCUCAUGUGGUAAUGCUAAUAACCAUAAAUUUAAAUAAUUUAAAUAAUUUAACUAUUUAAUAAUAAUGGUAAUUAUCCUUUCCUUUUUUUUACCUUUUUCUAUUUGUCUAUGUGCCUAAAUAAUCUAGAUUGUGAUUGUGAGCACACAAGCAUCGUUCACUUAGUUCCCUUGGUAACAAUUUGAAUAUUUGGUUUGAAUAUUUUGGUUAACGGUUAAGAGUUCAAACAUUGAAUGAGAGAUGACUUGAAAAUAUGUAAGUAAUUGAAAGCAAUCCUCAAGAUGGUUUUGUGAAGUUGUGUUAGCCCAACCAUAAAUUUUAAGAUGCUAUCAAAGCCAGCAAGAUUCAUUAAUUGUACCACCGGUUAUCUGGUUUGCGUCAUCGGACCACCAAUCAUUUAUAUCAACGCCCAAGCUCAAUAGUUUUUGAAGUGAAUGAGUGUGUAAAGAGUUUCACAUUGAACGAGAGAUGAUAUGAAAAUAUGUUUAUAAAUCACAUUAUGAACUUGGUUUUAUCGGGUUCUGUUUACGUCCAAACUCCAACCAUAAGAUUAACGUCUAGAAGAGCUAAAAAUUAAGCUUAAAUACCAUCCAAAAGAAUUUCAGUAACGGGCCUGGGUUCAUGCACUGAAGCCCAAACUGUCUUUUUCUUCGUUGUUAAGAAAAGUGAUAAUUAUGCUAUGCUGCAAAUUUCUUUUUUGACUGAUAAAUAAAAAACAACUAUGCUAUGCUGCAAUUGUUAAUGCUUAAACAACUAUUAUUUCUUGUUUCAUGCAGCAAGGAGACAAAUCGUACCGAUUCAGUUGGGCCCUAAAAGAUAAAAUAGAAUUUUAAAAAACAAGAGUUACUAUUGGUACAAAAAUCUUUGAUUUGGAGUAUUAGUCUUCUAUCAUUGAAAAAACAGACUCAUUCAACAGGGAAAUUAGCACUUUGUAAGUAAAAAUAUCAUCUGCCUUCAUCCACAAGGAAUGUUAAAUUGUUUAAAGUUAUGAUUUAAUUUUUUUUAUGCAGGAAAAGUUAUGAUUUGAAUGGACACUGAACAUUUAUCCUUUCCUUUGAAACUCCGAGGAAAGAAAUUAAAUACAUAAAAUAAAGCUAAAAAUCUUUUAUUAAAUUGAUCAAAUACCAUCCAAGUUUCAUUGUCUUCUGACUUUUAUUGAAUACCAAACACAAUAUAAAUCUGGAGAGAAAAUAUUGUGCUAAGAAUUUAUUAAGAGCAAUCAAUCCACACUAGAUACAUCAAUCAAAUCUAUUGGUUAAAAAUUAUGCAAGACCCAAAAAUAGAUGCAGCAAAAAACAGCAUAACCAUAAAAAUACAUCUAUAGAUAAAAAGGUCAAAACCAUCAACAAAAAUACAACUUUAGAAACAUCAAUAACUCCCUACAAAAUAAACCUUAAAUACUAAUAUUUUUUCCAUAUAAGAUAUUAUUAAAUACACAUGUCCAACCAUGUUUUCAUGUUCCAUGAAGCUCUUGUUGAGAGUUUUUCACAAAGACAUGUUCUUUCUUCUUCUUGGAUUCAACAUGUGUGUGAUAUAAUAUGACAUUAGGCUUUACAUCAAAGUCUCUAAUAAAGUCAUCUGACACCUCUUGAUUUUGAACAAGUUCUUUGAUUGCUUCAGGCAUAGGUUGGUCAUUCAUCAUAUUCUUCCAAUAACCUCCCAAGUCUUUUCUUGCAUAAGAGAGGUCAGCAACCUAUUUUAAUACAAAGAAAAUUGAAAGGUCAGCAAAAAUAUAAUAUAAAUUGAUUUUUGUUUAAAGACAAUAAAUUAUGUGAAUGAUAUGAAGAAAUUUCAUAGAGAUGGAUCAUGAAAGCUUACCAGAAGAAGAGAAAAGAGUAUGAAGGAAGCAAAGAUGGACUUCAUUUUUUCCUUGCUAAGAUGUGGACUUUUCAUUAGAUUUGUUAGUUUGAUGGCUCUAGGAUCUUCAGCCUCUGACUAUUUCUUUUUAUAGGCCACAAGGGGCCCACUUUAUACACGGUUGUACCAAUUUCAACUGGUGCCAACAAAGUCAUACAUUGUUGUACCUCUUAAAAAAUAUCAUAUAUUGUAAAAUAUUGAUAUAAAAAAGGUGCGGUGCCGAUGUUAUGUGAUAUUGGUUAACCACAAUAUUAUAAAUGAUUUUUUUUUCUCUCUCACAAAGAUUUUUUUGUUUUUUUUAUAUAUUUCAUCGGAUGGUAAGAAAAUUGGUUAGAGCAAAUAAAAAUAGUAGUUAACACUCAACAUAUCUAUUCAUUAGUUAUAAAUUUCUAAUAAUUUUUAGUGAGUUUUCCUUUUAAGUGUCAAGUAUAUUAUAUUUAUACCAAUUAAACAUAUGAGAGAUCUAGGGUUGUCGAUUAACCAUUGGUCGCAAAAAGGGUUAUAUAGUAUAUACUCUAUUCUGCCAUGCAAAACAAACAGUCUCACAACCAUUAUACAUUAAAUUCUGGCAUGUGCAGUCAUGAUAAACUACCAAAAAAAUUACUCCUAUUAUGAGUGGCCAUGCGAGUUGUUGUACAUGUUAUUAUAGCCUAAGAAAUGAAGCCAAAUUUGUGUUUCAAAUAUUUGGGUUGACUUCAGAACAGUAUUGAUUGUGACCAAUAAAAAAAUAAUUGAAUGAUUUGUAAUUUAACACGUUUUAUAGAAUUCAGUACGGUGAGAAUGAUAUAUGAAUAGUAAAUUUUGCAAUGUUAGGUUCAAAUGGCUUCAUCAUGACAAGUGGUGUAGCCUGUAGGUAUCUCAUGCUUUGUUCAUUAUUAGGUACAAACCCAAUGUAUUUAAAUUUAAACUUAAUUAAGUUAUCUUUCUCUUGAAGACUAAGGUGUUUUUCUUUUUUUAAAAAAAUAUCUUUUCCUAAUUAUAAAUUAUAUACAUCAAGUCUUAUUGUUAUAUUAUUAUCACAUUUUUUUUAAACUUCGAUAUCCGAUCCAAGGAUCAACAUCACAUUUUAAUAUUUUAGGGCACUUUUAUCUUAUGAGCUAACUUUUAAGAAUCAGAUCAAUAUAUUUAAUAUGAUAUGGAGUUGGGUUGAGGAUGACAAUAUAAAAUUAAAAUUCAUGUUAGACAUAAGGGCAAAUAUGAAAGUUGUAUCGGAGUCUCAUGUUGUCCAUUUUUUUAUAUAUCUCUUUGUCAUGCUAACAUAUCAGCACAGUUACUUUGAAUAAUAAUUGAAUGACACUAUGUCACACCAAGCAUUAUGCAUGUAUUUUUUACAACAAAAAAUGUAUAGACGACUAAUCAUGACUACAACAGAACAAAUUAAUUAAAUAAAUAACAAAGAAACUUAUAGUUUAAAAGUUGAAAUCAAUCUUGCCACAUUUUAUAUAUAUAUAUAUAUAUAUAUAUAUAUAUAUUUUUUUUUGUUUGUUUUCGCAUCAGUUUCCGACCCAUCAAUGGUGGACUACUAAUCCGACUCAUGCGUAAAGACAUACGCACUGAUCAAACGUUGUUUCCCCUGAGAAUCGAACCCAGUACCUCGGGUACGUUCUUGAAAGGAGCUCUUUGCCAUUUGAGCCUCAUUUUUUAUAUUUGUUAUUGAGGAGUUUUACAUGUUCAUUAAGCAAGUAAAUAAACGUCAUAAAUCAUAAAAAAAGGUCAUAUUCAAAGAUGUUAGAAUCCAAGAGAUCAAGAUGUUAGAAUUCAAAGAGUUGAUCAAGAUAGCCCAAGGAAAUGUUGAAUUCAGUGGGAGUAUAUGUGGUAAUGGGUUGAUACAUUUGGUGGCCAUGAAUAAAGUUCACAAAAAGAUAAACCCGUUUGGAUAUUAGCCAACAAAAUUUUCUUAUGGCUUUUUCCCCCAAAGUCAACUUAUAUGUGCAUCACUAAAAAAUUGAUUAUGAUGAGUAUAAAGAAAUGGGAAUAAGACUUUUGGUUGGGUUGCACUUUAUUUUGUUUCCUAUAGGUUCAUGCAUAGGAUGUAAUCCCAUUUUUAGUAAAAGAGAGUGUUCUUGUUUUUUUGUGACUGGUGGAGAUGCGUUGUGAUCUAUCUGUAUAUGCCAAUGUCAACUUAGCUUCUAUAGUACAUUAGAGUGCCUACUUGUCUUGUCUAUAUAAUCUAUAAUUUUUCAUAAGGAGUUUCAAUCAGCUUAAAUUAUUUAUUGAUUGUGUUAUCUUUUAGAAGACAAAAUGCACUUCUUAUUUUAUUUCUUUCUUUAACUUUUGCUGUCAAUAACAACGUGAUGCUAUUUGAUCACUAUACUUAAAUGGGACUUGACAGUCCAUAUUUAAAUUUGAAAAUAAAAGUAGUAACAACCAAAUGUUUGGUCUAGUAGUAAAAUGAUAUAUAGAUACAUGUGUAAACAUAUUUUAAGAUCGAAGGUCUUGUUAGUAUUAAAUUCGAGCAUCAUUUCCUCACUCUAAAUUUUGAUGAUAAAGAUAAGACUUCGAUUCAUAUUUAAAUUCUUUCGUUGAUAGAUUAUGAUACAUAAAUUCUAUUGGACAACUAUCACAAAACAUCCAAAAUUCAAUGAUUUGACCAAAAGAUAAAUUUGAUCAUAUAACUCAUCCCAUGUUUUUUUUUGGUGUCCGGGAUUCGAACCAAAUCCUUGCAUAUAUUAUACAUUAUUCUUAUCAACUGAGCUAAAUUUACGGAAUAAAUUCACCCCAUAUACUACAAUGAUGAUGUGUGUCUUCCGUAAUUUCAAUUUAUAAAAAAGAUUAAACGUUCCAAGUUAGCGGCACCAAAAGUUGCGUAAGAGUAAUUUAAAAAUGUCCAACUCAAUAAAACAUUAUGUGCGGGUAGGGGAGAAACCAUUGACUAAGUACAUUCCCAUGUUCAACAUUCAAAUUUCAAGUAGUUGAAUUGAUGAAAGAAAUUGUGUUUUAAUGAAUUUCUCACUUACACGUGCGUGUCAACAUAGGUGUUUAUUUAUUUAAUUUUUGUCCGUAGAUAAGAUGAUAAAUAUCAAUUAAAAAUCACAUACACUUGUAAAAUUUUGAGUUUAAACUAUGAUGAAAAUGAUCAACUUAAUAAUAUUUGCAUUCCUUACAAAAAUUUGAUAUAUGUAUUGUUAGUUGAGUGGAAGUUUACAUUACACAAAAAACUAUAGGAGAAAUAAAUCGUGGCCUUAGAAAACAAUUUUAAUUUAAAACUAUUUCAUCUUUAUAGUUUUAUACAUUUCUUAUUCUUGUGUAUGAGUAAGCACGCCUUAUUUGGGUAGGUAUUAGAGCACAUUUGAUUAUGGUCUAGCGGUCUAGACUAAAUAUUGUGUUAUUGUUGACGUUGGCAAAUGGGUUGUUAUAUUUUUAAAUAAAAGUAAUAAAUCGUAAACCUUGAUCUUUUACUGAUAGGAAAACAGAAUUGCAGCUUUUAUAUAGUCGGAGAUAUAAGCACCCGAGCCUCAUUAGCAAACAUAAUCCAAAUGAGGUGGUGACGACGCGGAACCUCUAACCCUAGAUUAACAGUUUUCUUCUUUUAGGAGAUUCAUGCAAACACUCUAACGAUUAAGAAUGUGUUAAAUACGCGAGGUGUUAGGGUUGAAAGUGUGUAUCAUGAAGCAGCUACAAGUUACCCUUUAUAGUGAGUGAAUAACUAGGGUUUCUAGCGCUCAAACUUUUACUCAGACAACUGUCCUCGGUGGACAACUACGAGCAUAUGAUGACAAUUUAGCUUUGGAUUCAGUUUGAAUUGUACAAAUUAGCCUACUCGACCCUGAUUUAGUGAAUUUAGGGCAUGUCUAUAUCAUAGUCCACUCAUCAUACGUUUGUGAGAAAGGGUCACCUUGUGUGCGAAGGUAACAGGUCUUCACCCAAUCUAGAACAAAAUGUAAGUAGUAGUAAAAAAAGUUUUUUUUUUUUUUUUAAUUUUAACAAAAAAUAGAUUUUCAUGGCGCAACGAUGUUCUGUUGUCGCCUCCUCCUCCAACCCUCUUGCUCUAUUUGUCCACUACUUUAUACUAUACUCCAGCACAACGUUGUUCUCAAGACCUCUUAUAUAAAAGGAAAACGUUUCUUAGACAAUAUAUUAUGUGUGUACUUCUUGAAAGAGAUAGCGAUAAGAGAGUGAUGUGAUAUAUGUGAUAAGUUGAUAAUGUGAUAAAAAAAAAAAAAAAGAUAAAGAGAUAAUGAAGUGUUGAAUGAAUGUAGGAAAAUUUGAAGUUUUUAAAUAUCAUUGUUGUAUAUCAAACCUUUAUCUUGUUUUUGUAAAAUCUACUCGAUUUCCUUCGAUCAAUGUCCCAAUUGACACCAUAGUUAAGUGAUCUACCUUAAGGCCAAUCGAGAGAGUUCUUUGCGUUCUCUUCUACAACAUUCAACUUAAAUACGUAUUAUCUUUUUUCAUAUUAGUACUAUCACAUCGCAAGAACCUUGAAGACAAUGACUUUAUUUUAAAAGUCGCAACAUCUACCAUUGUCAAAAUUUUGAACAAUUUUCAAACAUCCACCUAUCCUAUAUUACAUAGAACACUUGGUCACCCUAAAUAAUUGCAAUCAUGCAUAUUGUCCUUUUUCUUUAUCAGUAGUUGACUUGAUCUACAGAUCGAUGUGACUAAAAUUAAAUACUAGCAUAUAUAUGAUGUGUGAAACACCAAGUGGGAGAACCAUGGUUUUCACUUUCAUUGGUUUCUAACAGUUAUCAGUCCCAUUUAGGAUCAUCACUCAAGCAUAGCCAUUAAUCAAGGUUUUAGUGGUUUGUUUUGGAAAACUUUUGGGUGGAUAUUUGGUCCACAACACUAUGACACAUUUGUUGUAGAUUGAACCGAUUUACCAACACGCUCAGUUUGCCACCACAUGAGACGCACAAAGAGUCAAAGGAAUUGAUCAUGUCAUGUGUGUGGGAUGAUACCAAUCCUCUAAAUUCUAUCAAAAUACCGUAGCUUAUUCUUUUGUUUUCUCCUUUCCCUUUUUUGACCUCAAAACGAUAGAUCUUUUAUGAUUGUCAUAUUCAAACUUUAAUGUCAAAAUGGUAUAUAUAGAUAAUUACAUGCGAAUGAGAGACAAACAAACAAUAAACUGCACCGCUAAUCUUUUUUGGAUGAAAAAAUCAAUCCUCUUAAACACAACAUUGUUAUGCAUGACACUUUCUUAUCAACCCACUAUGAUAAGUUAAACCUAUUUGUGAUUCUACGUGAAAUCUCUAAUUAUGGUUUUCUAGAAAAAAGAGAAGGAUUGGAGCGGUUUUAAUAGAUGGUAAAAAGUAUGUUUGAAGCGCUACCUUAUUAGUAAGAGUUUCCAAGAUACAAAGUUUAAAUUUCUUGGAGAUCGACGAUUUUAAAAAAUAUUCUCGAGUCUAAAAUUUAAGUAAGAAAAAAAAUUAUGUAUAUUUUUCUUCUCAUAAUUAAGGUUGAAUGAAGUUUUAGUCAUGAUUACUGUUUUUUUGGUUAUAAGGGGAAAAAACAUAAACAAAACAGAAAGAAAGAAAGAAAGAACACGAAAAGGGCGAAGCUAGCUAGCCUCUAGGGAAGUAGGUUCCCCAAGCAUCACCCCUAAUAAGCAGUAACAACCCCUCAGGAGGAGAAGCAUGAUUAAUCAUCAGAGUCUGAAGCAACUCCCAUCUUUGCUAGAAAAUCAGCACAAUUAUUUCCCUCACGAAGGGUGUGCAAGAUAGAAGUAUUGCUGUGAAUGAUCAAAUCCUUUAUAUCUUGAAUGAGAGUGGCAUAGACAUGACACUUCAUGGGAGGUCCGUUGAUAAGGCUAACAAAAUGGAGGGAGUCGGAGUAGCACACAAAACCAGUGAUUCUCAAAGUUCUAACCAUACGUAAACCAUUAAAAAUGGCAAAGAGUUCAACAAAAAGAAUAUCAGAUGAAUUAGCAACAAAUCCGGAGAAACCAGAGAUGAAAAAACCAUCAUUGUUCCUAAGAAGACCACCAAAUCCAGUUCGCGGAGGAUUGCCAUGACAACUCCCAUCGACGUUAAGAAUAUAGCAGGAAUGAUUACGGCAAUUCCAUUUCACCACUUUGUCGACGCAAUUAGUAAGAGAAAUAUGGUGGAGGGAGGUGCGGUGGAUGACCAUGGAAUUCUUAAUAUUGAAGGUGAGGCGAAUAAGAGACCACACUUCAUUGUUGAGACACAUUAAGUUGCGGUGUAGCCACACCCACCAAACAACAGCUGAGAAAGCAAGAGAUUGAGAGCCCGUAAGGACAAUUUUUAACCAAACAUAAGUGUUCAUUUUCACAAAAAAAUUAUCAAAGUGCAGGAAUACAGUGAAGGAAUGUCUCUCCUGCUGGUCGCAGAGAGUGCAAACGGCUGAUUGAGUAAGUCAUGAUUACUGUUCAUAAUAAAUAGUUAUUUCAAUGUAAUACACACACACACACACACACAUAUAUAUAUAUAUAUAUAUAUAUAUAUAUAUAUAUAUAUAUAUAUAUAUAUAUAUAUAUAUAUCCAAGCAAGAUGUUGGACACAAUGUUUCAAUAUAUGGGUACGUCUUUAGUGCGCUCUGAUUUCGCGCUUUAAUCAAUACGCUUUAUUUAUUUGAGGAAUCCACGCCUGUUGUUGGCCAAGAUGUAACGCCCACUUUCGUUUAAUUAUUUAUUUAAUCGAGUUUAGGCGAUUAUAUUAUAUUUUUAUAAUAUAUGUGUGAGUUUUGUUGAUUUAAGAUGAUUUAAGUUGUUUUGGAUGUGUUUUGAUGAUUUGUUAAGAUUAUGAGACUUAUUUUAUUGUUAAAUAAAAUAAGAUUUGAUAAGAAAAUAAAAAUAUAAAAAAAUAUUUAGUUGAGGGCUGUUUUGAGAUUUUAGAGAGUUUUGGGGGAGAAAGUGAGAUAAGAUAAGAUAUUAGAAAGAGGUAUAAAAGAGAUAGACCUAGUUUUAGAAAAAAACAUUGCACGUACGAUUGUUUUUGGAAAAGAAGGAAAACCAAGAGAAAGCUAGAGAGAGGGCUGCGAUUUCUUCAAUACAAGGUAAGGGUGAGACUAUUAAUUCAGUAUUGUUAAUUGAUAUAGUUCUCAUGAAUAAUUGACAAAGUUAAGAUUGAUUUAGAGAAGUUUUGAAAUUAGGUCAAAUCCCUAAAACUGAUGAUCAAACGGUAAAACUGAGUUAGAUUGAUGUAGAAACCGUCCUAUAACCUUAGAAUAUGUUUAGGAUGAAUUCUGGAUGUGAAAUUAGGCUUAGAACCUUGUUAGAUGAUGAAAUUCGUGUAGAAACUGCAUUCUGUCCGAGCCAAAAUUCAUCGCUCGCCAUAGCGAGCUAUGAUCCUCGCCUCGCGAGGGAUGAUGAUCAUCGCUCGCCACGCGAGCCAUUCCCUUCGCCUCACGAGUUACAAGUCGUAGCUCGCCACAACGAGCAACCCUACUCGCCAUAGCGAGCUUGACCAGAGAGCAUGUCAUUUUCUGAGUUUUUGACUUUUGAGUUGAACCUUAGAUGCCUUUGAGUACCUUUAGGUGCCUACUAUUGAUUAGGGAAUGAAUUAGAACGAGAUUGAACCUGGAACAACCUUAGUUGGGAUUCUGGCUUGUACUCGCCAUGGCGAGCAGAUGCUCUCGCCUCGCAAGCACUUCCAGAACUGAGUGCUUUUGAGGAUUGUCAGACCUGAGCUGUUUGGAUUGGUUAGGAAAGGAACUUUAGGUGCUAGUGAGACCUAUUAGAGAUAUUGACUGAGAACUGUGAAGCCUUUAUGAAUUGUUAAGAGAUUAUGAAAUGAAAUAUGGAAUGAUUGCCUUUACUUGAAUUAUUGUUGAAUGAUCAAGAAAUUGUUGAGAAUGAUUUGUUAUUAAGCUUGAUGUGAUUUGAUUAUGCUGCAAAUGUUAUUUAACUAAGUUGCAUGUUUAUGAAUAAGCUGAUGAUGAACUCCAAAUUAUUGGAUGUAUAAGUGAUAAGUUGAUUAAGAUGUUUUGUUGUUAGAGUCCAUGCAUUAGCAUUCAUUGAGCUUUGUCCUCACCAUGUUAGGAGCUUUGUCCUCCGCACGUUUAAGAGCUUUGUCCUCCGCACGAUGAAAGUAUAUUAAUACUUAUGAUGACGAUUGGUACCACAUGCAUAUAAGUGUCUAAGUUGCAUUGUCGCAUUUGUCGAGUUUAAAGAUGUUUAUGUUGUUGACGAUGAAUGAAGUUGUGAUUAUGUGAUACAUGUUUAUCAAAGAUGCAAUGUUGAUUUAGACUGAUUAUGAUGUUAAUUAUGAUUUGUAUUAUAUUGAUUAAUAUUAUUGUGUUAAGAAAUCUCACCCCUUCUGCUUGAAAAUGUUGCUCUUCGUAUGAGUAACUUGCAGGUGAUCGUGCUUAAGUGUGCAGUUGCUGUUGUGAGUGGCCUUGCCUCACUGAGUCGUCUAGGUCGCUCUGAUACGUAACGGGAUGGGGUUAUAUGUCAUGCAUGCUUCAUUCUUUUACGUGAACUAUUACGUUAUGUUAUGAUAUUGUUUAACUGUUGUGAUAUUUGAUGGGGCCUACGUGCCAAAACGUUUUAUGGAUUAUGAGAUAAUUUCCGCUGCAAUGUUUGAGUUAUUUGGUUAAAUUGUUAUUUAACCGAUUUGGAUUAUGUUUAAUGUGAUAUCCCGUUUGUUUAUGUUGUUUACUCUGAUAAAUGUUUAAGAAAUUUUUAUAUUGGGAAAACGGGGUGUUACACAAGACACGUUUUGUUUGACCAUAAUCAACGUUGUGUUUAUCUCCUAAAGAUGUGUCAACAUUUUAGGAGACUUUGUUUAUUUCCUAAAGAUGUUCCUACAUUUUGGGAAACUUGUGAUUUGGUUCUGAUCCUUGUGAGCGGAUCUUUUGAAGGAUCAACUUUGUUUUCUGAAGCCCAACAAGAAGGUCAAGCCUGUGCUGCUUCAGAUUAUAUAAGAAAGGACGCAACACUUAAUUGACUACUGAAGCCGUCAUAUCAGAUAUAAAGUUUUAGGGUUUUGAGUCUCUGUUAAUUGUGACCCUUUCUUGUGUCUCCUUGAUACAAGUUUAGGACUGUGUUUUUUGAGUUGUAAUAUUGUGAACUUCAUCAUAUUGACUGUUUUUGUAUAAGUCUAGGAUUCCUAAGUUGAAGUCAGUACGGAUAGUAGCUAGGUGAUAAGUUGUAAACUUGGGUAGCCUCCAGAGUAGGUGUGUUUUUCACCGAACUGGGUUAACAAAUAACCUGUGCCAUUUACGUUUUCUGUCUUUUAUAUUUUCCUUGUGCUGUUUAUUUAUCGUUAGUCUGACGUUGAAACAUUAUAAUCGACAUUCCAACGAUGUCGUAGUGUUGGAUCAUUACAUACAACAUCAGGAAAAUAGCAUGCUAGAAUUUCAAUUGGUAUCAGCUUUAGGGUGAGCUCCAAAGAAUUUACUUUCUGGCAUAAUGGACAAGGAAAAAUGAUUUGUGAACAGACCACCUCUAACAAUGGAGGGGGAGCCAAAUUUUUGUAACAUACAUAUAGAAACUAUUUCAUAUAAUUGACAGAAACUAAAAUUUUACCGUGUGAGCAAGGGUUCGAGUCCUGGCAAAAUUCAUUUUGUGAAUAAAAAUGCUUACAAAUAUUCAGAAAAAGCAUACAAUAGUAUUUUUAGAAUAUUUAAAAAAAGCGUUUAAAAUAUAUAAUUCGACCACGAGUAUUUUUAGAAUUUCUAAAACGUGAAAAAAGAUAAAAUCGGAAAAGAAAUAUAUUUUUAAUUUUUUAACAAGAGGUUUAGUAGAAUUUGAGAUUAGAUAGAUGGAAUAAUAAUAGGUAGUGUUUGUGUAAUAACGCCUUGUUUUGGAGCUUGACGCGAGUUUCAAACAAAACAAUGGUAUCUCAAGCGCUAUCAGUUCCUGCAACUCCCACCUUCACCAUCGCUUCUCACAGAAGAAUCCCUUCUCAACUCGCGUUUUCUCACAGGUUCAUUUUCAUUUCAACUUUCGCUUUCACUUUCACUUUUAUUUUUGUUAAAAUCUUUAUAAUUGAAUUGCAGAAACCCUUGCACGAUAGCUUCUUCCUUCCAUAGCCCCUAUGGUAGUUCUUCUCAAAUCGGUAAUUUCCAAUUUAAUCCUAUUUUCUUUGUCUACUAUUUUUAAUUUAAUAGUUUAAUUUUGACCCAAAUGAAUGAGUUUUUUGUUUUGAAAUGAUAAAUUUUAGUAUUUGUUAGUGAUUGGAGUUGAAAGAACUAUAUUAUUAGUAUAAGUUGACAAAUUUAGGGACUGAAUUGAUGGAUUUUCAUAUACUUUAUGGAUGAAGAAGUUGACAAACUUAUAUACUUUAGGGACUACCCAUUAUAUAUUUAUGCAGUUUAGGGAUUAAAUUGGAAAGAAAGUGAUAUUUUAAGGACUAAAUUGAUAGUUCAUUCAGUUUUAAUACGAAUUACGAACUACUUUUAUUUGAACAAUAAAGCAUGUUAUGAUAUGUAGGUUUUUGUUUUACACAGGCUUAUCAAGUAAAACCCAUGGUUUUCGCUUAAAACUUGAUGAGAAAAGUACACAUGAUGUUGGUACAAGGUACACGUUUUUUACCCUUGUUACUCUUUCAAGUGCUUCAUGUUUAAGUAUAAUGUGUUUGUUUAGUAGGAGACUUUUGAACACCUAUUAUUGUCUGUUUUUUCAUGAUUCAACUUCAAUCAAAGCCUGACUUUCUGUGAUUGUAUACUGGAAAAAUAAGUGUAAGGGCAUAUAAGUAAUUAGGUUGUAGAGUAGUGCGUUGUGAAACACUACCAAAACAUUCAGCUUAUAGACCGUGGCAUGGCGUGUUCAGAAUCAGCAUCAUGACCUAUCUAUGUAUGUAGUCUAUGGAAAUAUCAUUGUAGCUAUACUGUAAAGAGUUUAAUUUGUACGCACUUUCGGUUUGAUAUGUAGGGCGUAUAUGUAAAACUUUUUUACACACAUACGAAUUGAAUUAUUUUGUAAAUAGGUCUAUUUAGCUAAUUUUCUGUAUGCUUUUUUAUUCUUGAACUUUGAUACUUUAAGGAACCUCUGAAAUAUGAGUUAAAACCCCCGUCUCUGCACUUUUUUAAGUAUUAAUGAAUGAAGGACAACUUAUUGAUAUUUCAGUUUACUUGUAGUUAUGGUGUAAUUGAAGCCAAGACGGGGAACCCACCAAUAACACCAGCUAUCAUGACUCCUGGAGGAGCUCUUGAUCUCUCAUCUGUUUUGUUCAGGAAUCGUAUAAUAUUCAUAGGACAGCCAGUUAACUCACAAGUGGCUCAGAGAGUUAUAUCGCAGCUUGUGACUCUGGCCACUAUUGAUCCAGAUGCAGAUAUACUGGUUUGUUAUGUUUUGAUUUUUGACCCUAUUAUUUGACUUUUGACUAAUCUAACAAUGGAUUAUGUGAUUCAUAUUGAGCUGUUUCUAUUUGCAGAUGUAUAUAAAUUGCCCUGGUGGAAGCACUUAUUCAGUGCUUGCAAUUUAUGAUUGCAUGUCUUGGGUAAGAUAAAUGUUUUGUCAUCCCAAUCCUACCUUACACACACGCAACAAAAAAAAAAAAAAUUUACGUUUUCAUUUCUUUGUUAGCUACUUUAAUUCCUUAAUAGUUGUCAAUGUUUUUAACUUGAAAGCAUUUGGUGGCCACAAUUUUUUUCAGAUAAAGCCAAAGGUUGGUACAGUAUGUUUUGGAGUAGCUGCAAGCCAAGGAACACUUCUCCUUGCCGGUGGGGAGAAGGGAAUGCGCUAUUCAAUGCCAAAUGCUCGCAUUAUGAUUAAUCAACCACAAUGUGGAUUUGGGGUAAGAAUCAAGCUUUUGAAAUUUUGUUAUAGAAAAUGCACUUUAGAUUUUAUGAUGGAGCUGACAGAUUAUGAUAAAGAAAAAGACGAUACUGAUUUGGUGUAGGAAGAGGAUAAUAAUGAUGACAAUAUGGUCCCAGUCCCACUUUUUAUCUUAAUAAGUAGUUAAAUACGGACUGUGCCCUCUAGCAUAUGAGUAAAAUAAUCAAAUGCACACCGUGUUCUCAUUCCUCCCUACAGUUUACAAACUUCUAUAAAACUAGAGGACAUGAAUUUUGAGCAUUGAGAUUGAGGCUGAUGUGCCAAGUUGCAUUGGACAUAACCUUUUAAUUUUUGGGACAAGUUGCAAUGAAAUAUCUAUAAGUUUUAUUGGAAGCAUGAUUUCUUCAAAUGUAAAUGUUUUAUUCAAAGUCAAAUUUUUAAAGUUAAUCAUAGAAUGCACUAUGUAGUUUGGCAUUUGAUGUAUAGAUAUACUAAAUAACGAAAGUAUAUUGUUUUUCAUUUUUACAUAAAAAAGAGCUAUGGACUAUGGUGUAUUUUUGGUUGCAGCAGCAGUUUUAUUUUGUGCAUUAUGUGCUGUGAAGUGUAUCGGUCAAUACUCAAUAGGCAUGAUGAUUGAGUUUGUUAUUAAUCUGACUGCAGGGUCAUGUCGAGGAUGUGAGACGUCUCGUGAAUGAAUCUGUUCAAUCCCGCUAUGUUAGUCUUUCUUUCUCUGAAGUUGCAUAAUUUUUAUAAUUUACAGACAGCUGUAAAAUGCUCCUGUGAACUUGGUUUUGCUGAAAGUAGGAUUUUCAUUCAGUCUUGACUGUGACAUUUAUAUUUGUGAAUUGUGAAAACCCUUGAAUGUAUAGUGUUGGGACUUGUCAAUGCAUUAUCAUGCACCGCCUCUUUGAAUUCUUUACCUUGAACAAUAGAUACAUGACUUUGGUUUUUGAGACAAUAGAUACAUGACUUAUUGUCAAAAACUCUAUGAUCGAUUGUUCAAUAGUUUGAGUUACCGGUCCCCAUUCUUGUUAAUAGAAGUUGAAUUUUAGCGCGGGCAGGAUAGUUUUGUGCACUCCAUCUUGCUAAAAGCCCAAAUGACUUUGUGUGAGGAGGUGUCAUGGUUUUAAACCAUUGAUGAGCCAUCCAACAGAAUGGACUAUUGGAAAUUUGGUUCAUUGCAGAAGAAUAUUAAAUUUUAAUUUUCAAUAUAUGUGAAACUGGAAACUUCAUUCAACAUGAUUUCUUCAUGCUCAAGUUACCAUGGCAGCAGCUACUUAGUUAUUUUGUUUGUUAUAGUUUAUCUGACAGUUCUUGGAAAGCUAAGCCUAUUUUCCUCUUCUUCCCCCUUCUUUUUCGAGUACAGAAAAUGGAGAAGAUGUUCAGUGCUUUCACCGGACAGGCUUUAGAGAAGGUGCAAGAGUACACAGAGAGGGACAGUUUUCUUUCUGUUUCUGAGGUAAUAUGAACUGUUUUUCUUCUGCAACUGAAAUAAUAAGUUAAUGUGACUGAGAAUGGUUUCUUGAAGAAACCAGAAUGUUCUCUUUCUAACAAGAAAUGAAUUUUAUGACUGUUGAAGAACAGAAGCAAAUGUUUCUGUUAUAACUUCUGAAAAGAAUCUCAACACAUCAUUAUUCUAUCAAAAAUGAGUUAAAGAGUAUCAAUGUUUUUAUAUAUAUUGGAGAGGUGGGGGGUCGAUGGGGGUAAGCAAGAAUUGAGAGGAAUAUUGGGUUGGGUAAGUCAGGGUGAGGCCCUCUAGGUUCUUUCGCAUCAGGUUUAUCAUUUUCUGUGUCAGUUUUCUCCAUUUCUACAACCCUUUUGUAAAGAGCUCUUAUGUUGUUUGGGAAAUACAAAUUAUUAUGCGAGUGGAGAGUUUAUCAUCUAUAUCUAUAUGUUGUUUUACCCAUUGUUAGUUCCUAUCAUAUCAUGAUUUGUUUUGUUAUUUACUUUAGAUUAGAAGUUUAGUACAUCAGUAUAGGUAUAUUUUGAGUAUUCCCGUUAGCCAUUUGUCUAUUUUCUAUUGAGUAUUAUUAUGGUGACUAGUCUCAGUGAACACUGUUACUAUGUUGAGUUUAUGAUCUUAAUAGUUUUCCGGCUUAAAUGCACUUCUUGUCCGUCUCUUUUAACUAAAACUUGAUUUUAAUCAUCUCAUUUCUAAAUAUAGGAUUUUCGUCCCUAGUUUCAGGAUUUUUCCUCUCAACCAAGUUUGGGACUUAUUUUUCCCAACAACCCACUUCUGGUGCAAAUUAGGAAUGCAAAUCAUCAAAUGCAAUUCUACAUAAUUAAUAAAUACACCUAGUCAUGAAAAAUAAGCCUCAAAUUUGAUUGUGGGGGAAAAUCUUGAAACUUGUGAAACAUGAGGACUAAAGUUCUGGAUUUAGAAACGAGGGGAAUAAAAUACGGCUCUAGUUAAAAAUAGGGAGAUCAAGAGUACAUUUAAGCAUUGUUUUACUGCUAAAAAUUCUUACCCGGUAUUUUUGUAUCUGCCUCUUCUCAUUUCAGGCUUUGGAGUUUGGUCUUAUUGAUGGUGUCCUGGAAACAGAGUAUUGAAUCUAGAUUACAUGCUGUAUAUUUGUAUUUCUAAGAAGUUGAUAAUGUAACUCAUGAGUCAUGAAUGAAUAUGCAAUUAUUUGUAAGUUGACUUUCAUAGAACGGUCAAUCUAGUUUUUGUCUGCUAUUAUGGAGUUCAUAGCAGUUAACCCUUGUUUCCGUUUUGAUUUAAGAAUCUAGUUAUACCACAAACUACUUCACAUUGUCAAUUUUAAAGUAGGACAAGAAAGAGCCUGCUAAAGUGGUGCAGUUAAUGUCAAUUUGAUAAUGGAUUAUACGUAUACAUUUGUUCUCUUUUGAAAUUUAUAAAGAUAUAAUAUAAUACAACGAGAAAGGAGGCCAUUUUAGUGCAUUUGUUAGGGAGAUGAUAAUACAUUUGUUGCUCGGAGCAGCUACUUCUAUUAAAAAUAGAGUUAUCAAUGACAUUUUAAAAUGAAACUUGUCAUUAAAAAUUAGGAAAUAAUAUCUAUAAUCCUUAUGAAUAUCAUUAAGUCAAAUUAAGUUAUUUAAGUGUUAAAUUAAUACUUAAAGUUGGAUAUUUAGUGUCCCCGUGAGCAUAACUCAGUUGGUAGGGACAUUGCAUAAUUUAUGCAGGGGCCGGGGUUCGAAUCCCGGACACUUACUUCUUCACAUUUAAUUGUGAGCUCUAGGCACUAGAUUACUAGACAAAAAAAAAGUUUGAAAAUUUAAAAGUCUCGCUUCAGAAAUUCUCUCUCAACCUCACCAAUAAAGACUACAUUGAAAAAUCUACUUUUCAAUGUCCAAUAUACCUAAUCUUUGGGGAUUUUGUAAUGAGAAAUUGGACCCUAAUAGUGUGUUUGGAUGAGGGAAUAUUUUGAGGUAAUGUAAUGUUUUGAGGAAAUUCAAUUAUUUUGAGGUGGAUUCAAAUAAUAGAAUUCACCUCAAAGUAGUUGAAUUCCCUCAAAACAUUCCCCCAUCCAAACACACUCUAAAAUUUUCAGUAUCUCUGAUUAGCAAGCUUAUUUUUCAAUGAUUACUGACCACAAGAUUUACCACUUAUCAAUUGUUUAUGGCAGCACAUCUCAUGUUGGUAGAAGAAAAAUGAGGAUGGAGCUAAAUUCCCUUCAACAAAGGUACAUUAGUCCUUACUGCUUCAUUGGUGACUUGAAUGCUAUUUUGGGAGCUCAUGAAAAGGCAAAUAAACAUUUUCCUAAUAAUAACACUUCUUGGAAUGUUUUUAGAGGGUGGAGUGUUUGAACAGUUUGAUCCAUUUGGAUACCAGUCAGUUCACUUGGUCUAACGGCAAGAAAGGCAAUAUUAACACGAAUUCUGCUCUCCCCCUUCACUUUUCGCUCGCGCCCUGCAUCCAUGAUAAAAAUGCUCUUGCGCUAGUUAACUAACGCAUGUGUAAAUCAAACAUGACUUAAUUUUACACAUGCGUGACUUAAGUCACGCCGUAUGAGUUAACUCAUGCACCCUGUGUGAGUUAACUCACGCUAGUUACAAAGUUGUGAUUUUGCAAAGUUAACUAGCGCAGGGACAUUUUCGUCAUGACUGCAGGGCGCGAUCGAAAAGUGCAAGGUGAAGAGCAGAAUUCUAUCAACACUUCUCAAAGACUUGAUAGGUCCAUUUGUAAUACUUAUGAAAAGACAGGUCCAUUUGCACUACUCAUUUGGUGAUAAAAGCCGAUUGAUUUUGAGACAAUAGUGUCCAUUACCUCAGCUAACCCUAUGGUUAGAACCUUUGCCAAUAGUUUGCACANNNNNNNNNNNNNNNNNNNNNNNNNNNNNNNNNNNNNNNNNNNNNNNNNNNNNNNNNNNNNNNNNNNNNNNNNNNNNNNNNNNNNNNNNNNNNNNNNNNNUUAAUAAUAAUAAAAUUAAAAAAAAAAACCAAAAAAACAAAACCCGCAAGCCCCACUUGCGGGGUAUUAAAAAAAUUUAAAAAAAAAAUUAAGCCAGCCUACCCCGCAAGUGGGGGUGACAAUCUAUUAAUUUUUAAAAAAAAAAAAAUAAAAAAUAUAGGCGUGUAGUUAUAGUUAUUUAAUUUUAAAAAAAAAAAAAAAAAAAAAAGGGAGGCCGCAAGUCCCACUUGCGGGGUAGUUAAUUUUUAAAAUUUUUUUAAGGUACCCCGCAAGUGAGGGUUGCAAGGUAUCAGUAAAUUCUGAAAAGUAGGGCAUUUAUGCAAUUUUUUUUAAAACUAGGGCAUUUUUGUAUUUUUGGAAUUAAAUAAGGGCAGAAAAAAAAAAAAUUCUCAAGUGGGUCAUCAAUAAAAAAAAAUUAGAUUUUGUCCCUGUAAUUUCAGAUUCUUCCACUUUUGGUCCCUCCUUUCAUCAAGUCAACAGAAUCUGCAUAAAUUACGUCCCUGUAAUUUCAGAUUCCUCCCACUUUUGGUCCCUCAUUUUACGUGCCAUGUAUGCAGAUUCUGCUUACGUAGUGGAAUGGGGGACCAAAAGUGGAAGAAUAUGAAAUUACAGGGACAAAAUCUAAAUCUUUUUUUUUACAGGAACUAAAACUGGAAUUCGCUAAUAUUACAGGGACGAAAAGAGAUAUUUACCCAUGAUAAUAUAUAUGGCGUAAAAGAUUACUUAGAUUGUUUUAUAGGCUUUUAAGUUGUUCAACCCUAAAAAAAAAAAAUUGAUCGAAAGAUAGCUUUUCGAUAGGUUCUGUACAAAAAAAAAUCGAUUGAAAGAUACGUUCUAAUAGAUUUAUAUCAUCAGACAUUACGUUUUGAUAAAUUUAAAGGAUUUUGAAUAAAAUUGAGGGCCUAUAAAACGACAUUGGGUGUGUUUGGUUAUGAGAAGAAAAUAAGAAGAGAGAAAGAGGUAAGAGAGAGUAAGGGAAGAGAGAAAGAGGUGGGAAAUAGAGUAGAUUUAAAGACUAGACAAGCCUCCUCAAUCAACCAAUAAACACAUUCGACAUUUAAGACUUAAUUCACGCAGAGAUUUACACUAGCGUGAGUUAACUCACGCAGAGAUAUUAUUGUCAUUUCAGUUGGGAGCGAGCAAUUUCUGUUGGAUAAAGAGCAGAAUUCAUAAUGAUUCAUUGUUUUGUAUGUUUUGCAUUGCUUGUUUAGAAUGUGCGUACAAGAGCUGGCCAAUUUCGUACAACGUGAUCAAAAAUAAAAUUAUUUUAGAACUAAUAUAUUAAAUUUUAUUCGUAUACAAAAAGAUUCGCAAUAAUUUUACUACUAUACAAAAUGUAAUUUAAAACAACGUCAAGAAACUUUUUUAUAUGAUAGGUUUUAUUACUCACAUAAAAUGUAAAAUUAUUUCAUAAGCUUAACAUAAUAUAUACAGAAUAUAUACAGAGUUGAGGUUCCAGGCAACCCACUUAUUUCAUUUAUUCCCCUUGAGGUGAAUUUCUAGCACCAUAUUACUUAGCUAUUUUGUGAAGUGUAUUUUAACAUUAACGACCUUUUUGUUUAGACAAAACACCACACCCUUCCUCUUUGUUUGGUUGUGAGCAUUGAUAGUUUGAAUUAAAAGAAAUUGUAGUCCACCAUAGUUACACUUUACACGGAUGAUACAUGGUUGUGAUACUUCCUCUAUUUUAAAAUAAGUGUUAUUAUUCAAAUGUGACACUUAAUUUGAGACGGAUAGUGUAUUACUUUUCAUGAUAAGUAACAUUACCCUUUAUAAAAUGGAAUUAAAUAAGUUUUUCAAUCCUAAAAUUAUAAUGGAUUUUUUAUUUUAAUUCAUAAAAAUAAACACGAGGAUGUAUUCAUCCACACACAAAAAAAUUGUUUCGACUUUUGUCACUAUUAAACAUAAUUUUAAACAUAUAAUAAUAUGAAUAUACAUGAGUUUGACAUAAUAGAUAGACAUACUUUCCUUCAAAAAAAAAAAUAGACAUACUUUUUUCAUUCAAAAAAUGAUAGACAUACUUUUAUCCCAUGAGCAUAGUUCAGUUGGUAGAACAAUGUAUUAUUAUAUGCAGGGGUCGGAGUUCGAAUCCCGGACACUCCACUUAUUCACUUUAUAAUGUAAAUUCUAAAUAAUAAGCUACCUGAACCAAAAAAAGAUAGACAUUAUUUUUAUUUUUUUGUCUAGAUAGAUAGACAUACUUUAAACACGUCUUAAAUAUAAAAGUGAAACAAUUUUUUUUAAAUUAUGAACAUAAACUUAUCAAGAACAAAAAAGUGAAACAAUUUUUUUUAAGAGAAUUGAAACAUUUUAUUUUUAUUUUUAAGGACUAAAAUCAAAUUCUAAAUACUUUUAAGGAAGAAAAAUAUGACAUACACAUUUGUUCGGCUACUAUUGAUUACACGCACUAUAUAUAGGGGGGUAUUGAAAUUUGAAACAUUCAUCCAAAAUAUCCCAUACAGACAAAAGAAACUGAACGAGGCUUUUACAUUUGAAAAUGAGACCUGCUCUUGCUGUGCUUACUCUCCUCUUCCUUUUCUUGGUUUGAAUUUCCUUUUACAGUUUUUUAUUUUUUGUACAUUUAAAAUUUAUACAUUUUUUAUUUUGGUGAAAAUAUUUAUAAUUAUUUAUGGAUAUAGUCUCAAUUAUAAGUAGAGUUUACUUUUUAUAUUCAUUUAAUAAUUAAUGUAUUUGGUCUCUGAGAAGUGAACUUUUGCUUAUAAUUGAGACUGAAUGGUGUACUUUACAAAUGUAAAACUUUUUUAGAUGUGUUUUCAAUCAAAUAAUACAAAAUAGAUAUUUGUAAAGAUAUUUUAUAAACUAAAUUCAAAGAAUGUUAUUUUAGUGUAAUUUGAUUGAAUGAAUGUGUAAAAAAGGUGUACACAUUCGAUGUAUGAAAAUUAUUCUCAUAUUUUUUAGUAAUAUUAUUGGUUAUUUAAAAUGAAAUAUAAAAAAGUAAAAUUUACAUUUCUUGAUCAAAUCCUUCUUUCAUGAAUAAUGUCAAACAAUAAUUUUGUAUAAUUCCAUAAAUAGUAAGUUAUUAUAGAAAGUCAUGAAUUUAAUGCAUUGAAAAUUAAAAUAUAUGAUUUUUUCAAUAAACAUUUUGUUUUUUUUGAACAAAUAAAUAAUUUUUCAAUAAUUUUUUUCAAUAAACAUUUUGUUAAUUAAGGAUCUUUAAAGAAUGUCUUUAGAAGACUUGUUAAGAGGACUCUAAUUUUAUUGGCAUUCUUUUGCUAAAAACAGAAACAUAAUUGAUGUUCCCUAGAAAAAACAUUAGUCUUUUUUGUCAAUAAAUCUAGAGUUUAGAAAUUACGAUGUACUACUAACCACCAUUUUCCUUUUUCUUGUCUUCUCAUUAUAAUCCGGAGAAGUUUGCUGCUACUAUAGAAUCAAGAAAUGAUCUAAAGGAAUAUUGGAAAACUAUUAUGAAAGAUGAAGAGAUGCCGGAAGGAAUUCAAGGGCUUCUUCAACUGAAAUCUGAAAUCGAACCUAUGAAGAACUCCAAGGCACAAGAACAACUUGCCAAAGGUAAGUGCGAUGAGCAUCCCGCAACAAACACACUAAAUAUCAUAAAAAAAAAGGUGGUCACAGAAGAAUUUCAACCAAGACCCACAAUUUCAGCUUAUGGUGAUGACAAGAUUGAUAUAAAGGUAACUGAGAAACAUAUAAAAGAUUUUGAGCCAAGGCCAAGUGGCACAAGGUAUGACGGUGAUGGUUAUAAAAGCGAGAAGCUACGAGUGUACUCUGAGUUUGAACCUAGGCCAAGUGCUACAAAGUAUGAUGGUGAUGGUGAAGGUUAUAAGACUAUUAAACUACCAGGGAAUGACGAAUUUGAACCCAUACCAAGUGUUACAAGGUAUGAUGGUGAUGGUUAUAAGAGUAUGAAACUAUCGGGGAAUGAUGAGUUUGAACCCAGACCAAGUGUUACAAGGUAUGACGGUGACGGUUAUCAGAGUACAAAACUAUCGGUGAAUAAUGAGUUUGAACCUAUACCAAGUGUUACAAAGUAUGGCGGUGAUGGUUAUAAGAAUACCAAAUUAUCGGUGAAUAGUGAGUUUGAACCCAUACCAAGUGUUACAAGUUAUGGCAGUGAUGGCUAUAAGAGUAUGAAACUACCGGUUAAUGACGAGUUUGAACCCAGACCAAGUGCUACAAAGUAUGAUGGUGAUGGUUAUCAGAGUACAAAACUAUCGGUGAACAGUGAGUUUGAACCCAUACCAAGUGUUACAAGUUAUGGCAGUGAUGGCUAUAAGAGUAUGAAACUACCGGUUAACGACGAGUUUGAACCCAGACCAAGUGCUACAAGGUAUGACAGUGAUGAUUAUAGAAAAAUGAAACUACCGAUGAACGACGAAUUUGAACCUAGACCAAGCGUUAAAAAGUAUGAUGGUGAUAAUAACAAAAGCAAGAAGCUACAUGUGAACGACGAGUUUGAACCUAGGCCAAGUGCCACAAAGUAUAAUGACUAAAUAAAAUUAAGAAUGUAGCUGCCUUUAAAGGAUAUAAUGUGCUAUAAGUGUGUCCAAUAAUAACUCUGGUGUGAUGUAUUAUGGUCUUUGAAUAAAUAAUGUAAAAUAUUCGGUGAUU